GCUCCUCCUCCGCUCUGCUCUUCUCUCUCCCUAUUUUCUAGAUUACAACUAGAACUAACUAGAACUAGAACUAGAGGAACUAGAACUAGAACUAGAUGAACUAGAACUAGAUCUAGAUGAACUAGAGGUAGAACUAGAAGAACUAGAGGGAUCCUCUCUACUUGGAUGAAGAAUUGAAACCCUAACUUUGAUUCUGUAGAAGAGGUAUGAUCUCCAGGGGCCAGGGGGGUCUGGUUUUAUAGUCCCUUCAAGUGAAUCUGGGCCGUCGGAUCAAACCGGCAUUGAUCGUGUGGUUUUCCUUGAAGUAUUAGGUCGGUGGAGCAUUGUCCUGAAAGAGAGUCCUGAUUGGACUCUGGCUGAGGGCGGGCGCCCAAGAGACUAGGGCGGGCGCCCUGUGCCUGAGCCCUCUCAGCCUUUGCUUCGGUCUCGUGGCUUCUGGAGUCUUCUAGAUGAUAGAAAAUUGCGCGGCACGUUAAUAUCUCUAUGUAAACCCGACGUGUGGGCCUUUCUUCCAUAUUUCCUGUUAACCCCCUGCAGAAAUAGACAAACACCAAAACUCGUGGAAUUCUGUCAGAUAAAACCCUAAGUCUAGGUGUUGGUUGCAUUUGGAUCCUUUUCUAUGAUUAGUUGAUGGUUAAAUGUGAGCAUUAAGGACCGUCAACAAGCUCCCCCAAGCUUAACCUUUGCUCGUCCCUGAGCAAAGAUGAACUCAAGAGUUUCUGCAGUGGUUUCAUGCCUUAAAGAUACACAUGCGUUUAAACAAGAUCUCAUCUCUGGUUAGAGUAAACUAUUAAGACUUAAAACUUACUCAUUUACCUUUCACCAUGGGACUUGUAACCGUCACUUGUGUCUUGAGCAGUUAAAAGAUAGAACGGUCUAGUCAAGCACCAUGUCUCUUGUUCUUCGAUUAACUAUAGCUCUAGAGUUUUUGCAGAUUUUCAAAUAAAACUCAGAGAUUCCUUGUAUGACUCUCUCUAGUCUCUCUUUUGUGGUAUUUCUGGAUCCUUACCAAGGCAGUAAUGGUAUAUGCCUUCUCUCAAAGUAUGUAGUAUUUUUGGUAUGGGGCAUAGUGGCAUUGCCUUCUCUCUCACCCUACUCUAAUAAGGUUUUGAUAUCUGGAGCUCAUAGGUGGGAGACAGCUAAUACAUACUUACAAGACAUUUAUUGCAUAGUCAAACCAUGGAUCCAGAAGAACAAGUCAAUAAGUCAAAUCAAGAUGUGCAUGUGUGGCGUAUGAAUGAUGUAUGGUGAUGAUGGUGAUAACAAUGGUGGAAGUCUAAUUCUACUUAUGCUCUUUUGAGGGGAUACAUACCUUUCUUGCUCUUUUGAAACCUUUUGAGGAGAAUGAGAUGCUCUAUAUUUUCUUUUUCUUUUCUCUCAGGUGGGUAUCUUGUACCCCUAAUUCUACUGUCGGACACUUGUCCAUUUUUACCUCUCGUCUCACUUUUUUUUCUCUUUUUUUUUCGAGGUUCCGGGCACUUGCCCCUUUUUAUUUCCUUGUAUCUUUUUUUUUCUUUUUUUAGAGAGCACUCAUCUCUUGAAAUAAUAUAGCAAGUGGUAGUAACAAGAUAACUUGAGCAUUUAUUUCACAGGGGAAAAACAAAAAUAUUUUUGGCUAUUCUCUCCCGGAUUAGGAGUAGAAUAUUUUUGGGUGGUUCUGGAGAUGGAAAUGGAUGGAUAUAUGUGGAUGCGUACUUCCGGAGUAGAAGCAGCAUGUAUGAGUGAACGUGCAAGUGAAUCUUGAUUUAACCACAUGACAAGCUCCUAAGGGUCUACACAGCUUGACCACACUCAAUGCUCAUAAGUAGUAAAUAAUAAAUGUGUGGCUCAAAGUCUAGCAAGCAUGUAUAUAUGGCUGUGGUAGGAAUUUAAACUCUCAUCAUAUAGGAACUCAUCAUGCAACGUUUUAAAGAUUUUCAAAGAUAAAAUUCUCCAGAAUUCUAGCAUCUCUAGGAACAGAUAAACAGCAGCUCAACCUUCCCAUAUCGUAUCCGUUAACGACUUAGACUUUAGAUCAAGUACUCUCCCCACAAGUUCAGGUUUAGAGCAAAUCUUAAUUAAUAACAGUCAUGCCUAAACUUGAGAGAGAUUUCAAUUUUGAGAACUAGUCAUGGCAGAGCAACUAUUCAUGAUUUCCAUGUGAGAGCUUAUCAUGAGGGUUCAUAGCAAACUUUAUUUAUUUAUUUAUUUAGCAAACUAAGCAAAGAUAUAUAUAAGCACAAAAUUUUUAUUUGGGUUUUCAUGAUUAUGCAUCUUUUUAUUAUUUGAGUAAAGUAUAAAUGCGAGUAGAAACACUUAGCUGGAUAAAUGGGGGUGCUCUCCCCCAAGCUGGAUUUUGACAUAAUUUCUUUUGAUGUAGCUAGCAGGUGGCGGAGGUGUAUUUGAAUGUCGGCAGCACUCUGACAGCGAUUAGGAUGUCCUCCGUCUGCUAGACUUCUUUGAUCCUUGAAUUCUGUGGAGCUCAAAUAGACAACAAAGCUUUGUGGAACUAGUUAAGUGUUAGCAUAAAUAUUUAGCCUUUAUCAUGUUGAGUCUCCUCAAUAAAUGUUACUCUCUUUAGUAGGAUCACUAUCUUAUUUUUACAAUUUUAUUUUUGUAGGACAGGAAUAUAUUUAUUUCAUUUUUAUGCCAGCACAGUGAAUGUGCUUAUGGGUUUUAUGCCAUGAGCAUAAUCAUAUGGGGCAUACUAUUUUUUAACAUUUUUAUUUUCUUUUCAAGAUGAUAUGAACCUGAUUAACUAAGCAAACUAUUUUAAGAUAAUUGAAAGGAAAAGAUAACUACCAAGUUUACCUCUUGGCAAGGCGUUCGGUGUUUUUAAGUCCUCCGAACGGGACUCUCCGUUUUCUCAGUUGUCCUGGGAUUCGCUAGAUGGCGUAGUCGGUGGUUUCGGCGGCGCGUACUCUUCAUGUAUAACUAUCUUCUCUCUCCACACCUGACUCGGUGCUACGGUCUCCUCAGGACAGUUCUGUUCAAGCUAUAUGUCUUCAGACCUUACGACUUCUUCUUCAUAGUCUGCCCAUCCGUCCUUGAUGAUUUGCCUCCUCUGGUUGCGGUUGCGUCGUCGUUUUCUUGUCCUGACCUACUUAGAGUCUUCAACUAUAUAGUUAGGGUCAGUAAAAUAGUGGCGUACCUUCUCAGAGGGGAAGUUCAUGUGGAUUUCUCCGGUUCCAAUGUAGAUGAUUGCUUUGACGAUGCUGAGGAAAGGUCUUCUAAGGAUGAUGAGUGGAUCGAAUUCGUCUUCUCCCAUGACAAUAACCUUUCAGAAUGUCUGAUCUGCCAUCUGAAGCUGAAUCUAUGUCGGUUGUAGGGGCAUGGUUCCACGCAGGAGCUGAUAAGUGACUGCGGCCAUUAUGUUAACGUUAGAUCCGGUGUUGUAGAGUGUCUUCUGAAAAGAAUAUCCGUUAAUUGUGCACUCGAUGCUUGGAACACCAGGGUCGUCCUUCUUGAUAAAGAAAGGUGACUUGAGUUGACGAUCUUGACCUCCUUGAGCUGCAGUGACCAUCUUAGCUGACUCGGUCCACAUUUGCUUGUUCCUGUUCCUCCUGUUGGUCCUCUUCCUUGUUUCAUGUCAGGAUUGCUCUGAGAUUUGUGUAGUCUUGUUCUUGAAGGAAAACGUCUCCGUCCUUCCCUUGAUGUAGAAACUGAUCUUGACAGCACUAGCAUAGAUGACAGCUCCCGAGGUAUUCAGGAAUGGCCUCCCUAGGAUGAUGGGUGCCCUCUCAUCAGUAUCAGUCUCUAUCACCACGAAGUCUGCUGGAGCGUAUAAGGUACCAACUCGGACGUAGAGGUUCUUCAAUAUUCCCCUUGGGAAACUUAGUGUCUGAUCUGCAAGCUGCAAACACAUGGUUGUUUCUAGGAAAGGAUGUGUAAAGAAUUUAUCAUAGAGUACCCUGAGAAUAAUGUUAACGCUGGAGCCAAAGUCGCAGAGUGCUUCUAGGAAGUCCACCAUGCCGAUGGAAAUCGGGAUGACGAGACGUCCUGGAUUGUAUCUCUUGACCGGCAGAAGGUCAGUAAUUAUUUCCACAACGGGGUUACUCCAGUAGUUACGUCCUCAAGCAUCUCAGGGCAGUGAUUGCCUGAGUGUCCAGUAUCUCCAGUGUGUUUGUGCUCGUAGAUCUAGGUUCUUCACUUAGUGGAGUCUGGGAGUUAUAAGAGUCCUUCAUAUUUUGCUCGAAGUGUACCUGCUCACAGAGACAAGGCAGAGAUCAAGUGCAUGGGCCCUGUUGGUGGAAAACACCAACAGAACCAAAAGUGUAUUUAUUCUUCUCUAACCUUAAGCAUAGUGAGCAAGACAAAGUUAAUGGAUAAUAAGAUCAUGAUUGUAGCAUUUAAAACAUUUGUCAGAUCAGAUGGCUCAACCUAAUGGAAAGAUAAUCUAUCUAUACUUAUGUUUUUUUUUAUCAUAUAUAUCUUCCAAAUAUUGAGUGUGCAACAUUUUAGCUCAUAUGAUUAGGAGUGUGGGAUCACAAAGGUGGAAGGACUAAACAUAUUGAAUCGAUUGGGUUGGUUAAUCUAGAGUUGUAAAUCAUACAUGUUUGUCUCUUUUAUUCAUGUGAACGCCAGAACCAAGGAGAAGCUUAUAAAAGUGAUAGUCAAGUACCUUAAGAUGUUACCUUACUUGAAGAGUGAUGAUACAGUAUCACCUUGUGGAAGCUUUCCUUUCUUAGCAGUUGUGAAUCGUGUUUGUGGCACCCUCCAUGGAUCAUCUCUUGUGAGCUAUGCCUUCCUUGUGUAAAUUGUUAAACUUCAUGUGUCUCUCUCUUUGUCUCCAAUGUGAGUUUGUCUCAAGACUUCCCAGAUUGAUAUUGAAAGUUUUCCUGCAGGGGUUAGUCCAACAAAAUAUCCAAUAUCUACUAUAGCAUACUAUCGGCUCAAAAAUCAACCUAGACACCAUGUCUAAUUUGAUUCAGGAGGGCUUUUUUAACCUAAGCACCAUGCUUAAUUUAAAACCCCUUGGAAGUAAGAUCAUCAUUCCUAAACUAAGCACCAAGCUCAAUUAAGAGAUAAAUGAAACUACUCCAAACCUAGACAUAUACUAAAGCAAAUAAAGGUAGCAUGAGAGCAUUUAUAGAGAUCUACUCAAGUGGAGAUGAAGUAGUGUGAUUAGUAUUUAACAAAUUGAGCAUGUUUCAAAGGUAAGGACAACCAACAUAGCAACAUGGCAAAGGAUGUUUUUAUGUAAAGUACUCCCCCAAGCUUGAAUUUUGCAAAAUUCAAGUUUGGAUGAAUUUAAUUCAAUGUUGUAUGAUGAUUGGUUGGACAUACCUUGUGCUUGUCAUUCAUCCGAUCUUCUUGCUCCAAUCCUAGAAAGGUCAGUGACAAGAAUACCCGAAGGAAUAUUUUUACAAUUAUCCUUAUAUGCUCAAUUCACAAGGUAAUGUUGUAAAUAAUUCAAAGCUCAUGUUACAAUCUGAUUAGUGCUUGUUUUAGGACACUAAGCUUGUCCUUGGGAAACCAUUAAUUUAUGUCAGCGAAGUGGUUUCCCCUCCAAUGCUGACCUAUAUCAAGAUCAACUCAACGAGAUCUGCAAUAUUUAAUAUAGACAUAUGCAUCGACAACCACCCUUUUAAAGUUUUUAUAAAUAGAAAGGAAGAGGGGGUUGGAGAUCUCGAAUGUGGUGAUGUUGGAGAGACCAAUGGAUUGUGAAGAUGUUGCAUAUGAGCAUGGAGUAAAUGAAGUGGCUAUGAAAUAAAUUCCAUGCUCAUUAAUGCUUAGAGUGAAAUCCAUGUGGUAUGGUGAAAAUGGUAAGGUGAGUGUGGUAAAAAAGGAAAAGAAAAAGGAUACACGGACGACUUGGUUCGAAACUAGCACAGCUACCUGUUGACGGUCCUUAAUGCUCAUAUUUAACCAUCAACUAAUCAUAGAAAAGGAUCCAAGUGCAACCAACACCUAGACUUAGGGUUUUAUCUGACAGAAUUCCACAAGUUUUGGUGUUUGUCUAUUUCUGCAGGGGGUUAUCAGGAAAUAUGGAAAAAAGGCCCACACGUCGGGUUUACAUAGAGAUAUUAACGUGCCGCACAAUUAUCUACCAUCUAGAAGAGUCCAGAAGCCACAGGAGCGAACGGGAGACGUAACGGAGUCGGGCACUGGGCGCCCGCCCUCCCUUACUGGGCGCCCGCCCUCCCCCCUGGACCAAUCAGGGUGAAGUUCGGGGAUCAUGCUCCACCGACCUAAUACUUCAAGGAAAACCACACGAUCAAUGUCGGUUUGAUCCGACGGCCCAGAUUCACUUGAAGGGACUAUAAAACCAGACCCCCUGGCCCCUGGAGAUCAUACCUCUUCUACAGAAUCAAAGCUAGGGUUUCAAUUCUUCAUCCAAGUAGAGAUGAUCCCUCUAGUUCUUCUAGUUCUACCUCUAGUUCAUCUAGAUCUAGUUCUAGUUCAUCUAGUUCUAGUUCUAGUUCGCUCUAGUUCUAGUUCUAGUUAGUUCUAGUUGUAAUCUAGAAAAUAGGGAGAGAGAAGAGGAGAGCAGAGAAGGAGGAGCCGGAUCUGUCGGAUCUUCCUCAACAUUGUACUUUUGCAGCAGCUGGUUCAUUCUUCAUCGUUCUCCAGGUUCUUCAAUUCAUAAUUUCUGAGUUCUUUAAUUACUUUUAUUUACAUUCAAGUUAUUUAUUGGAUUCCCGCUUGCAUCAAGUGCUCUAGUCUUUAUAACGCUAGAGUAGUAAUUAAUAGAUUAGACGUGGUGUUUAGUCUUGCGAUUACCUAGAAUUGCACCCAAUCCCACGGAUUGUUGUGGUAGCCCUAGGGUAGUGACAGCCCUAACGGUCGACGUAUUCCACCACGUUCGGAUCGGUGUUUGUAGGACCGUAGUCAGACCUUCCUAGCCCCGUUCUCAUCUCUUUCUGUGGUUAGUGCUCUGAUGUCCCGAUAUAGAUAAUCUUGAAGUAAUUCUUGAUUCUUAGAUCAACUAGAGAACUCUCAGGAAACUUCCUCUCUUCCCACCAAAAAUAAUUAUAUAGUUAUCCUUGGGCGAUCUUGGAUCUUAAUUAGUACACUCACGUUCUCUGUGGAAAAUCGAUACUCUGGAAUACUCCCGGGUGAAAGCUACAUCGGUAUCCGUGCGCUUGCGGAUUUUUCUGUUUGCGUUUAAAAUACCCAACAAGCUUUUUGGCGCCGUUGCCGGGGAACGGUAGCUGUGCUAGUUUCGAACCAAGUCGUCCGUGUAUCUUUUUUCUUUUCCUUUUUUACAACACUCACCUUACCAUUUUCACCACACCACAUGGAUUUCACUCUAAGCAUUAAUGAGCAUGGAAUUUAUUUCAUAGCCACUUCAUUUACUCCAUGCUCAUAUGCAACAUCUUCACAAUCCAUUGGUCUCUCCAACAUCACCACAUUCGAGAUCUCCAACCCCCACUUCCUUUCUAUUUAUAAAAACUUUAAAAGGGCGGUUGUCGAUGCAUAUGUUUAUAAUAAAUUUUGCAGAUCUCGUUGAGUUGAUCUUGAUAUAGGUCAGCGUUGGAGGGGAAACCACUUCACUGACAUAAAUUGAUGGUUUCCUAAGGACAAGCUUAGUGUCCUAAAACAAGCACUGAUCAGAUUGUAACAUGAGCUUUUAAUUAUUUGCAACAUUAACUUGUGUAUUGAGCAUAUAAGGAUAAUUGUAAAAAAAUUCCUUCGGGUAUUCUUGUCACUAACCUUUCUAGGAUUGGAGCAAGAAGAUCGGAUGAAUGACAAGCACAAGGUAUGUACAACCAAUCAUCAUACAACAUUGAAUUAAAUUCAUCCAAACUUGAAUUUUGCAAAAUUCAAGCUUGGGGGAGUACUUUACAUAAAAACAUCCUUUGCCAUGUUGCUAUAUUGGUUGACCCUACCAUUGAGACAUGCUCAAUUUGUUAAAUACUAAUCACACUACUUCAUCUCCACUUGAGUAGAUCUCUAUAAAUGCUCUCAUGCUACCUUUAUUUGCUUUAGUAUAUGUCUAGGUUUGGAGUAGUUUCAUUUAUCUCUUAAUUGAGCUUGGUGCUUAGUUUAGGAAUGAUGAUCUUACUUCCAAGGGGUUUUAAAUUAAGCAUGGUGCUUAGGUUAAAAAAGCCCUCCUGAAUCAAAUUAGACAUGGUGUCUAGGUUGAUUUUUGAGCCGAUAGUAUGCUAUAGUAGAUAUGGGAUAUUUUGUUGGACUAACCCCGGCAUGAAAACUUUCACUAUCGACCUGGGAAGUCCUGAGGUACACUCACAUUUUUGACAAAGAGAGAGGCACAUGAAGUUUAACAAUUUACACAAGGAAGGCAUAGCUCACAAGAGAUGAUCCAUGGAGGGUGCUACAAACACGAUGCACAACCGCUAAGAAAGGAAAGCUUCCACAAGGAGAUACCGUACCAUCACUCUUCAAGUAAGGUAACAUCUUAAGGUACUUGACUAUCACUUUUAUAAGCUUCUCCUUGGUUCUGGCGUUCACAUGAAUAAAAGAGACAAACAUGUAUGAUUUACAAAUCUAGAUUAACCAACCCAGUCGAUUCAAUAUGCUUAGUCAUUCCACCUUUGUGAUCCCACACUCCUAAUCAUAUGAGCUAAAAUAUUGCACACUCAAUCUUUGGAAGAUAUAUUUUAUAUAAAAAAACAAAACAACAUAAAUAUAGAUAGAUUAUCUUUCCAUUAGGUUGAGCGAUCUGAUCUGACAAAUGCUUUAAAUGCUACACUCAUGAUUUUAUUAUCCAUCAACUUUGUCUUGCUCACUAUGCUUGAGGUUAGAGAAGAACAAAUACACUUUUGGUUCUGUUGGUGUUUUCCACCAACAGGGCCCAUGCACUUGAUCUCUGCCUUGUCUUUAUGAGCAGGUACACUUCGAACAAAAUAUGAAGGAGUUUUACAACUCCCAGACUCCACCAAGUGAAGAACCUAGAUCUACGAGCACAAACACACUGGAGAUACUGGACACUCAGGCAAUCACUGCCCUGAGAUGCUUGAGGACGUAACUACUGGAGUAACCCCAUUGAGGAAGUUACUACUGACCUUCUGCCAGUCAAGAGAGGCGAUCCAGGACGCCCCGUCAUCCCGACCUCCAUCGGCAUGGUGGACUUCCCAGAAGCACUCUGCGGCUUUGGCUCCAGCGUCAACAUUAUGCCCAGGGGAAUAUUGAAGAACCUCUACGUCCGAGUUGGUACCUUGUACGUCCCAGCAGACUUCGUAGUGAUAGAGACCGGUUCUGAUGAGGGGGCAGCCAUCAUCCUAGAGAGGCCAUUCCUGAACACCUCGGGAGCUGUCAUCUACGCUAGUGCUGCCAAGAUCAGUUUCUACAUCAAGAGGAAGAAGGAGAUGUUUUCCUUCAAGAAACAAGACUACACAAAUCCCAGAGCAAUCCCGACAUGAACCAAGGAAGAGGACCAACAGGAGGAACAAGAACAAGCAAAUGUGUACCGAGUCAGCUAAGAUGGUCACUGCAGCUCAAGGAGGUCAAGAUCGUCAACUCAAGUCACCUUUCUUGAUCAAGAAGGACGACCCUGGUGUUCCAAGCAUCGAGUGAACAAUCAACGGAUAUUCUUUUUAGAAGACACUCUAUGACACCGGAUCUGACGUCAACAUACCGGCCGCAGUCACUUAUCAGCUCCUCCAUGGAACCAUGUCCCUACAACCAACAUACAUUCCGCUCCAGAUGGCAGAUCAGACAUUCUGAAAGAUUGAAGGUUAUUGACAUGGGAGAAGACGAAUACAAUCCACCCAUCACCCUUGGAAGACCGUUCCUCAGCACUGUUAAAGCAAUCAUCUACAUUGGAACCGGAGAAGUCCACAUGCACUUCCCCUUUGAGAAGGUACGCUGCUAUUUUAGUGACCCUAACCAUAUGGUUGAAGACUCUAAGCAGGUCAGGACAAGAAGAAGACGACGCAACCGCAACCAGAGGAGGCAAAUCAUCAAGGACGGAUGGGCAGACUACGAAGGAGAAGUAGUGAGGUCUGAAGACAUACAGCUUGAACAGAACUGUCCUGAGGAGACCGUAGCACCGAGUCAGGUGUGGAGAGAGAAGAUAGUUAUACACGAAGAGCAGGCGUCGCCGGAACCACCGACUACGCCAUCCAGCGAAUCCCAGGACGAAUGAGAAAAUGGAGAGUCCCGUUCGGAGGACUUAAAAACACCGAACGCCUUGCCAAGAGGUAAACUUGGUAGUUAUCUUUUUCCUUUCAAUUUAGUUUGCUUAGUUAAUCAGGUUCACAUCAUCUUAAAAAGAAAAUAAAAAUGUUAAAAAUAGUAAGCCCCAUGUGAGUAUGCUCAUGGCAUAAAACCCAUAAGUACAUUCACUGUGGUGGCGUAAAAAUAAAUAUAUAUUCCUGUCCUGUAAAAAUGAAAAUAUAAAUAAGAUUGUGAUCCUACUAAAGAGAGUAACAUUUAUUGAGGAGGCUCAACAUCAUAAAGGCUAGAUAUUUAUGCUAACACUUAACUAGUUCCACAAAGCUUUGUUGUCUAUUUGAGCUCCACAGAAUUCAAGGAUCAAAGAAGACUAGCAGACGGAGGACAUCCUAAUCACUGUCAGGGUGCUGCUGACAUUCAAAUACACCUCCACCACCUACUAGCUACAUCAGAAGAAAUUACGUCAAAAUCCAGCUUGGGGGAGAGCACCCCCAUUUAUUCAGCUAUGUGUUCUACUCGCAUUUAUAUUUUACUCAAAUAAUAAAAAGAUGCAUAAUCAUAAAAACCCAAAUAAAGAUUUUGUGCUUAUAUAUAUAUAUAUCUUUGCUUAGCUUGCUAAAUAAAUAAAUAAAGUUUGCUAUGAACCCUCAUGAUAAGCUCUCAUAUGGAAAUGAUGAAUAGUUGCUCUGCCAUGACUAGUUCCUAAUAUUGAAAUCUCUCUCAAGUUUAGGCAUAACUGUUAUGAAUUAAGAUUUGCUCUAAACCUGAACUUGUGGGGAGAGUACUUGAUGUGAAGUCUAAGUCGUUAACGGAUAUGAUAUGGGAAGGUUGAGCUGUUGUUUAUCUGUUACUAGAGAUGCUAGAAUUCUGGAGAAUUUUAUCUUUGAAAAAAUCUUUAAAAUGUUGCAUGAUGAGUUCCUGUAUGAUGAGAGUUUAAAUUCCUACCACAGCCAGAUAUACAUGCUUGCUAGACUUUGAGCCACACAUUUACUUUUUACUGCUUAUGAGCAUUGAGUGUGGUCAAGCUGUGUAGACCCUUAGGAGCUUGUCAUGUGGUUAAAUCAAGAUUCACUUGCACGUUCACUCACACAUGCUGCUUCUACUCAGGAAGUACCAUCCACAUAUAUCCAUUUCCAUCUCUAGAACCACCCAAAAAUAUUCUACUCCUAAUCCGGGAGAGAAUAGCCAAAAAUAUUUCUGUUUUUCCCCUGUGAAAUAAAUGCUCAAGUUAUCUUGGUUACUACCACUUGCUACAUUAUUUCAAGAGAUGAGUGCUCUAAAAAAAACAGAAAAAAAAGAGAAAAAAAAGAUACGAGGAAAUAAAAAGGGGCAAGUGCCCGGAACCUCGAAAGAAAAGAAAAAGUGAGACGAGAGGUAAAAAUGGACAAGUGUCCGACAGUAGAAUUAGGGGUACAAGAUACCCACUUGAGGAAAAAGAAAAAAAAUAUAGAGCAUCUCAUUCUCCUCAAAAAGUUUCAAAAGAGCAAGGAAGGUAUGUAUCCCCUCAAAAGAGCAAAAGUAGAAUUAGACUUUCACCAUUGUUAUCACCAUCAUCACCAUACACCAUUCAUUCGCCACACAUGCACAUCUUGAUUUGACUUAUUGACUUGUUCUUCUGGAUCCAUGGUUUGACUAUGCAAUAAAUGUCUUGUAAGUAUGUAUUAGCUGUCUCCCACCUAUGAGCUCCAGAUAUUAAAGCCUUAUUAGAGUAGGGUGAGAGAAAAGGCAAUGCCACUAAGCCUCAUACCAAAAAUACCACAUACUUUGAGAGAAUGCAUACACUAUUGCUGCCUUGGUAAGGAUCCAGACAUACCACAAAAGAGAGACUAGAGAGAGUCAUACAAGGAAUCUCUGAGUUUUAUUUGAAAAUCUGCAAAAACUCCAGAGCUAUAGUUAAUCGAAGAAUAAGAGACAUGGUGCUUGACUAGACUGUUCUAUCUUUUAACUACUCAAGACAGAAGUGACGGUUACAAGUCCCAUGGUGAAAGGUAAAUGAGUAAGUUUUAAGUCUUAACAGUUUACUCUAACCAGAGAUGAGAUCUUUUUUAAACGCAUGUGUAUCUUUAAGUUAUGAAACCACUGCAGAAACUCUUGAGUUUAUCUUUGCUCAGGGACGAGCAAAGGUUAAGCUUGGGGGAGCUUGUUGACGGUCCUUAAUGCUCAUAUUUAACCAUCAACUAAUCAUAGAAAAGGAUCCAAGUGCAACCAACACCUAGACUUAGGGUUUUAUCUGACAGAAUUCCACAAGUUUUGGUGUUUGUCUAUUUCUGCAGGGGGUUAUCAGGAAAUAUGGAAAAAAGGCCCACACGUCGGGUUUACAUAGAGAUAUUAACGUGCCGCACAAUUAUCUACCAUCUAGAAGAGUCCAGAAGCCACAGGAGCGAACGGGAGACGUAACGGAGUCGGGCACUGGGCGCCCGCCCUCCCUUACUGGGCGCCCGCCCUCCCCCCUGGACCAAUCAGGGUGAAGUUCGGGGAUCAUGCUCCACCGACCUAAUACUUCAAGGAAAACCACACGAUCAAUGUCGGUUUGAUCCGACGGCCCAGAUUCACUUGAAGGGACUAUAAAACCAGACCCCCUGGCCCCUGGAGAUCAUACCUCUUCUACAGAAUCAAAGCUAGGGUUUCAAUUCUUCAUCCAAGUAGAGAGGAUCCCUCUAGUUCUUCUAGUUCUACCUCUAGUUCAUCUAGAUCUAGUUCUAGUUCAUCUAGUUCUAGUUCUAGUUCCUCUAGUUCUAGUUCUAGUUAGUUCUAGUUGUAAUCUAGAAAAUAGGGAGAGAGAAGAGGAGAGCGGAGAAGGAGGAGCCGGAUCUGUCGGAUCUUCCUCAACAUUGUACUUUUGCAGCAGCUGGUUCGUUCUUCAUCGUUCUCCAGAUUCUUCAAUUCAUAAUUCCUGAGUUCUUUAAUUACUUUUAUUUACAUUCAAGUUAUUUAUUGGAUUCCCGCUUGCAUCAAGUGCUCUAGUCUUUAUAACGCUAGAGUAGUAAUUAAUAGAUUAGACGUGGUGUUUAGUCUUGCGAUUACCUGGAAUUGCACCCAAUCCCACGGAUUGUUGUGGUAGCCCUAGGGUAGUGACAACCCUAAUGGUCGACGUAUUCCACCACGUUCGGAUCAGUGUUUGUAGGACCGUAGUCAGACCUUCCUAGCCCCCUUCUCAUCUCUUUCUGUGGUUAGUGCUCUGAUGUCCCGAUAUAGAUAAUCUUGAAGUAAUUCUUGAUUCUUAGAUCAACUAGAGAACUCUCAGGAAACUUCCUCUCUUCCCACCAAAAAUAAUUAUAUAGUUAUCCUUGGGCGAUCUNNNNNNNNNNNNNNNNNNNNNNNNNNNNNNNNNNNNNNNNNNNNNNNNNNNNNNNNNNNNNNNNNNNNNNNNNNNNNNNNNNNNNNNNNNNNNNNNNNNNGCACGGCGCCAGAAAGCUUGUUGGGUAUUAAACGCAAACAGAAAAAUCCACAAGCGCACGGAUACCGAUGUAGCCUUCACCCGGGAAUAUUCCAGAGUAUCGAUUUUCCACAGAGAACGUGAGUGUACUAAUUAAGAUCCAAGAUCGCCCAAGGAUAACUAUAUAAUUAUUUUUGGUGGGAAGAGAGGAAGUUUCCUGAGAGUUCUCUAGUUGAUCUAAGAAUCAAGAAUUACUUCAAGAUUAUCUAUAUCGGGACAUCAGAGCACUAACCACAGAAAGAGAUGAGAAGGGGGCUAGGAAGGUCUGACUACGGUCCUACAAACACCGAUCCGAACGUGGUGGAAUACGUCGACCGUUAGGGCUGUCACUACCCUAGGGCUACCACAACAAUCCGCAGGAUUGGGUGCAAUUCCAGGUAAUUGCAAGACUAAACACCACGUCUAAUCUAUUAAUUACUACUCUAAUGUUUCAAAGAUUAGAGCACUAGAUGCAAGCGGGAAUCCAAUAAAUAACUUGAAUGUAAAUAAAAGUAAUUAGAGAACUCAGGAGUUAUGAAUUGAAGAACCUGGAGAACGAUGAAGAACGAACUAGAUGCUGCAAAAGUACAAUGUUGAGGAAGAUCCGACAGAUCCGGCUCCUCCUCCGCUCUCCUCUUCUCUCUCCCUAUUUUCUAGAUUACAACUAGAACUAACUAGAACUAGAAGUAGAGGAACUAGAACUAGAACUAGAUGAACUAGAACUAGAUCUAGAUGAACUAGAGGUAGAACUAGAAGAACUAGAGGGAUCCUCUCUACUUGGAUGAAGAAUUGAAACCCUAACUUUGAUUCUGUAGAAGAGGUAUGAUCUCCAGGGGCCAGGGGGGUCUGGUUUUAUAGUCCCUUCAAGUGAAUCUGGGCCGUCGGAUCAAACCGACAUUGAUCGUGUGGUUUUCCUUGAAGUAUUAGGUCGGUGGAGCAUUGUCCUGAAAGAGAGUCCUGAUUGGACUCUGGCUGAGGGCGGGCGCCCAAGAGACUAGGGCGGGCGCCCUGUGCCUGAGCCCUCUCAGCCUUUGCUUCGGUCUCGUGGCUUCUGGAGUCUUCUAGAUGAUAGAAAAUUGCGCGGCACGUUAAUAUCUCUAUGUAAACCCGACGUGUGGGCCUUUCUUCCAUAUUUCCUGAUAACCCCCUGCAGAAAUAGACAAACACCAAAACUCGUGGAAUUCUGUCAGAUAAAACCCUAAGUCUAGGUGUUGGUUGCAUUUGGAUCCUUUUCUAUGAUUAGUUGAUGGUUAAAUGUGAGCAUUAAGGACCGUCAACAGGCGGCGACCUAGGCCUUGCCGACCCAGGGGUCGACUGCGCGCCCCUCUUAACGGGCUUUAGGGGCGCCAGCCCCACCGAUGCCACUUUCUACUUCCGACUGGCAAAAAGAUGGCAAAGAUAAAAAGAAGAAAGAGAAAAACAAAAAAGAGGAUAAAAGCCUUGAGUAGGCACUUACCUCGCUUGGGGCGCAGCGCCCUUCUGGGAGCUCGGCGCUCCCUUGGUUCCGCGGGCUAUCAGGUAGGCGCCUGCCGCCGCCCCUAGGGUCGUGGUGGCCCCAACAGCUGUUCUGGCCUUCGGCGCCUCCGCCGAGACCUCCGCCUCCACCUCUAUCUCAGGACGAGGCUUGGUUGGGGCCUUCGGGCCCACGGGCGCUUCAGGCUCUCCAUCCGACGGCCUUGUUGAUAUUUGGGAACACAAUAAGGAAUUGAUCCGCAAGCGCACGGAUAUCGGUGAGCACUUCACCCGGGAGGUUAUCCAGAGUAUCGUAUUUAUUUUUUUACCACUAGGAGAAAGAGUGCAUCUGACUAACCCGGUCUAUUACUACUAACCCUUUAGGCAACAAAGAAUGUUUCUCGAUGUGAGUGAUAAAUAGAGAAGACUACAACCGUAAUCUCCUUCUAACCUUGGUAAGGAUGAUCUACUGUUCUAUUGUGGAGGCUAACAGAAUCUAGACACCACAAAGGAUGUUCAACACGCACCUAUAAACCCUAUCCUUCCUGCUAACGAGAUAUGGUCUGCAAAGGUAACUCGGAAAUGUCACGUUCCUCGCUACUACCACGGUCUAGCUAGUCAGGGAAUAUCUAUGAGUAUCCUAGCUUAAACACCACGUCUACGCUAGAGAUGAUUACUCUAAACUCUACGCGAAGAGAUUAAAGUAAACUCAUAAACCAAAGAACAAUAAAACAAGAACUUACUAGAAUUUAGAAGUCGAAAUACUGAAGAAUCCUAGGAGCAAGCCUCGAGUUAGGAGAACUUGAUCCCGCAGGUACAAGCUCGGAGUAGACACCGACAGGCCGGGCUUCCUCCGAUCUACACCUCCACUCUAUUUCUCUCAAUCUAGUAGAAACUAGAAGAUCUAUUUCUACUCACAUUGGUUGCUAAGCCUAAAAAGAAAUUUUAUUUAGAGAAGAGGUUUUCCUUCAAGGGCUCCCCUCAACUCUAUGAUAAACUUGUCUCCUCCAGGGGCUAGGGGGUCAUGUUUUAUAGUCCCCUCAAGUGAACGUGAGCCAUUAGAUCAAACCGACAUUGAUUGGACGGUUAUCCUUGAUCCUUUAGGUCGGUGGAACGUCGUGUGCGAAAAGAGUCCUGAUUGGCAUCGAACAGAGGGCGGGUGCCCAGGUCCUCAGGGCGGGCGCCCUGGGCCUGGCCGCUUUCGGCCUCUGCUUUCUUCCCGUGGCUUCUCGAGUCUUCUAGAUGGUAGAAAAUUGCGCGGUGCGUUGAUAUCUCUAUGUAAUCCCGACAUGUGGGCCUUUCUUAUUUCCUGAUAACCCCCUGCAGAAACAGAUAAACAACAAAACUCAUGGAAUCGAACCCUAAUUCUAGGUGUGGUUUGUAUAUUGGUCCUUUCUCUUGUUUAUUUGAUAAUUAAAAUUGAUACUUAAGAACCGUCAACAGGCCUCUCCCCACCUUGGGGACCCACGGGAACCGAACCCUCCUGAGGGGCUUCGUCCCCACCUUCGUCAACAAUGAUGUAGGGGGCGCCAUCUGUGCCCAAAGGAAUCCAUGACCCCCUUGGGGCCUCUGACCCCCCAAAGGCCUCUGUCCCCCCACCGAACAGGGGUACCUCUUCGUCAUCCUCCUCUUCUAGGAGCUCGUUCAGCCAGUGUGCGUCUUCCCCGCCCUCUAUCACCGAGACCGAAGCCUCAGAGGAUUCAGGCUCGGGGAGCCCCACCUUCUCAGCCUCACGAUGGCGCUUGACCAAGGCCUCCGCCUUCUUUGCCUUCUUUGCCUUCUUCGCUUUCUUAUUCUCCUUCAGGCGCUUCUGCUCCUCGUUCUUGGCCUGGUUCUGGGCCCAGAUCUCCUUGUCCUUUGGGACCGGGGGUAGGACGUAUUUGAUAAUGCCCAUCCCCUGCGAACAGAUGGCGACCCGAAUAAAAACCAAGGCAAAGAAGAGGAUGACAAAGCAGGGAUAGGGGUGGAGAUGUCUUACCAGAGAGAAGUAGUCCCUAUCAAGACGCAUCGUGAUGACCUGAUAAUUCUUCAACUCUAAGGACACCGUCCUCAAGACUCGGAGAUUGAUCUGUGAGGCGGGCAUUGGCUCCUCCAGCAUCCGCUUCCUGGCCAAGGGUGCAUUGGGGGUCAUCUCCCACAUGGGCAGCACCCGCUGUGCCAGCGGGAGGAGGCUUCGCUUGUGGAAAGCGACCACCACCGUGGCCGCAGUAACGCCCUCUCGCUGUAGCUUUGCGAGGGCCUCAAAGAGGGCACUCAAUAACCAUCUUCCCCGUGUACUCCAGGAGAAGGUCGUGGUCGUUUUGGAGGUAGAACCACCUGUUCUGCCACCCCCGGUCCGACGACGGCAUGAUGCUCCGGAUAUACUUGCUAGAGUGCGACUACCGGAGCUGGAGCGUGCAGCCACCGGUCCUUAAGGGCCUCUUCUCCCCACCCUCGUUGCGGGAGGACAUCUCCGCCUUGAAGAGGUGGAGCCAGAGGUUCCAAUGGGGAGGGAUCCCCAGGUACCCCUCGCACACCGUGGCGAAGACGGCCGCAUGCAUAAUCGAGUUGGGGUUGAAGUUGUGCAGCUCCACCUCAUAGUGGUGCACAAGGGUGCGCAUGAACCGGUAGGUUGAAAUCCUGAACCCCUGGUCUUAGAAAGACAGGAAGCAAACCACGUAGCCUAGCGGCAGGUUUGGCUCCCUAUCGUUCACCAGAGGCACGAGCUACUCUGGCAUUGUCUCGUCCGUGACAGGAUGGAGAAGUCCACCCGCCACACGGGCCUCCAGCGCCGCCUCCAUGACGUUGCAUGGAUGCCACAUGUCGUCGCCGGCCAUGGUUGGGGGCGGAAGCGGGUGCUUGCAAGGAGCUCGGUGGUGGUGAGGAGGUGACAGCAGGAGGCUUGGAGGCGUGAGUGUUUGGAGGCAAAGGUAAAAGGGGAAAGAACUAGAGACCCCGCGGCGGCUUUUAUAGAAGAGGCGUGCCACAUCCCGUCCUCCACGAAGCGGAUCGGGGAGGGGAAAAUAAACCGUCGGCCGCCUCAUUAACUAAGCAAGGUAACCAAGGCGUCCACCCUUUCCGAUUCCCAUGAUAACUGCACGCACGCACGCAUCAAUUUUGCAGGCGAAACGUCCUGUCUAGAUCGGGCGCAAUGGCGUGGUCGUUCUGGCUCCCAACACGAGUCGCCUCAAAAGGAGUGCCCCGCCAAUCAAGUUCGAGUGGUUCCUUCCAAGGUAAGGAGCGCCCGACACCCCUGCUACGCCCGAGCCGAUACCUCCUAAGGUAAAAAUCCCCAAGGCUAUGGCCUCUUACGUUCCAGAGGUUGUGAGACUGACCUUGUGGGGGUAUAAAACCCUAUACCCUUACGGCUAGACUUGGGCCAGGAGACUUGGUCCAUCACGAGACAAUUCGGGGCUUGAUCCAACUGCUUGGAGUUCCACACAAGGAAACAAGACGUGGAGAUCAAGCUGGAUUCUAGUCGAUUGGAAUAGGAAUUGAUAUCAUACUAUCUAUGGCAAUUGUAACCGACUAGGAUUAGUUUCCAGAUCUGUAACCCUGCCCUCUGGACUAUAUAAGGAGAGGCAAGGGACCCCCUAGGACAACUCAUCUCAACUCGACACAAUCCAAUACAAUCAGACGCAGGACGUAGGUAUUACGCCCACACGGCGGCCGAACAUGGACAAAAACCUUGUCUGUGUCUUGCGUCACCAUCAAGUUCGUAGCUUGCGCACCAUCUACCGAUAAACUACUACCGUGGGUAUACCCCAAGGUAGACUGCCGACUAGCUUUCGUCGACAGUGGCGCGCCAGGUAGGGGGUGUGCGUACAGCUCUCCCGACGAACAAGAUGGUCAUCGUUCCAGCUUCUGCGGCCGUGGCUGAAGGCCUCAUGUUCACCGUCGGCCAGAUCACUUGGACAACUCACGGCGGCGGCCUUGCGACCACGACUUCGGAAGAAACCCAGAUCCAAUCUGGGACAGCAGAGGCGUCGACUCCGAUCACGCCGACUCCGAGCACCCGACCUCCACUCCCUCGUUACAGGGCAAAGUGGGUCGACAACUCAGAUCUCCUCCAAGCCCUCGAUCGCGCCAACCUCAAGCUCCUCGAAGCCUCCAACCUGGUGGAUUCGAUUUCACGAAGGUCUGAUCAGGCGACAGCAACAAAUUUUUUCGACUACCGUCGACCAACUCGUGUCUCCACACACGAACGGCUAGAGACGUCCCUGACCAUAACAUCGACCACCGCGGGACGGACCGUAAGCUCAAGACAAGCCCUCCAGACCAGCAUUGCCUUUACAGUCUGAACAACGCGGCCGAUCAGUUUUCGCGGCAUACCCAAUCUCUAUUCAGGAAGGUAGGCUUGUCGUCAAGCCAAAACAGACAACCAACUCGUCACUUCGUCGAUAUGGUCUCCAUCCGCACCCUGCCAGAAGACAAGUCCAGCAGUACAAGCUCCAGCACAGGAUCUAUCCCCACCGAGGUUUUACACCCCAAGGACGAAGACUACGAUUUGAAUCCGCCGCCAUACCCGUCGGGGUUCUCUCGCUUCCCGGUCUUUCCACCUCGAUGAGGAGAUCUGGUUUUCAAUGUCAGUAAUGAUGAACCAGUUGUUGAUGGAGAAACUGAUGAGCAGAGACAGCAACGAGAGCAACGCAACACCGACCGUGCCCAACGAUGAGCAAACGAGGAACAACAGCUCGCCCCACAUAGUCUCAAUGAUGCUUUUGACAUGGUCGGAAAUCAGCAGGUCUACAAGACACCAAGCGCCAACAUGGCUGUCGCCAUGGCAAACUUGGAUCGCCUUCCCGAUGCUCCCGAAUAUCAGGACAUUCGAGCCAACAUACGGGCGCAUUUGAUCGUGGCCAUGGGACAGACCGCUACUCUGCUCAAAAGGGUUCAAGCCGUAUCCUAUACGGAGGUCACCUCCGACCAGACUCAUCACAGCCGCACCUCACCGCGAUCUGGCGGGCACCGUCGUAGCCGUUCACCCACCAAUAAUCGAAGGAAGGACACCCAUCGCGACAAUUGUGGUUGGGACGCCAGCAGUUACCACGAUCAAAGACGUGGACGUGGUCAGCAGGUGAACCAGGAUCGGGAUCUACGACACAACAUCCCCCCUAAGGAUGCCCGCGAACACAUCAACAGGCGCGCUACGGAACGAGCGGUACACGAAAACGUGUGACGCAUUGAAUACGAUGCAGCACAUGCCCCCCUGGCCUAAGACAGUUUUCCUCCCACCUUCACCAAGUCGUCUGGCCCCGCAACUUUAAGCUCGAGAAGCUUAAAAAAUAUGACGGCAAGGAGUACCCUGAAAACUGGAUCACUCUUUACGAGAUCGCAGUCCGAUCAGCAGGAGAAGAGGAGCACGUCAUGGCAAAUUACUUCCUAGUCGUCCUUGACCAAGCUGGCCAUCAAUGGCUCCUCGGCCUACCCGAGGAGUCCUUCGACUCUUGGGAAGAACUGCGCCAGGCGUUUAUUAACAAUUUCAUUGCUACCUGCGAGUAGCCUGGAAACAAAUACGAUCUCGAGAGGAUAAGGGACAGGAAAAAUGAGCCCUUGCGCGAUUACAUCCGACGAUUCUCAGAUAUGCGUCUUAAGAUUCCAAAAAUUUCUCACAACGAUGCCAUAUCAGCCUUCAUCAAAGGCCUAUGCUUCCAUGAAGCAUUAAGGAGUAAGCUACUACGCAAAAGACUGACCACGGUUGCCGAGCUCCUCGCCACGGCCAAAAACUACGCUGAUGCCGACGACGCCGAAAAACUCAUCCGAGAAGAUGCGAGAGGAGCCGACCAGCCUCCCCGGCAAGAUGAUAGCCGUGGACGCUUUGAUAACCAGAAUUCUCGACGCGGCGACAACCGAGAAGGUUGGGACAGGUGCCGCGACAACCGUGGUGAUUUCAGAGGCAAGCGACCUCGCGACAACGACCACGAGGUGAACACAGUCAAGCAUCCUAAUGGACGAAGGGACUAUCAGGAAGACUACAAUAAGACGCUGAAAGGACUGUGUCACCUCCAUCCCAAGUCCAAUCACACGAUGGAAGAAAGUUGUGUCCUCAAAAGCAUCUACACACAUCGGGUUGCUCAGGGGGAUUCCGUCAAGAAAAACAGGAAGCCGGAUAGACACGGCACGAAGACGAAGAUGAACCCACGACACCAGUAUGUCAGUCCCACCGACGUGGUGCAUUCCAUCUUUGGAGGCAAAGUUUCCAUCGAAUCUAAACGAGAAAGAAAGCUCCUGAAGAGAUCUGCACGCCUCAAUGUGGACAACACGGACGGCCUGAUCGCUGACCCAAAAUUCCCUCCCUGGUCGCAUAGAGAGAUCUCCUUCAACAGACAGGACCAGUGGGCCGCUAUCCCAGAACCAAGGCAUUUUCCUUUGAUCCUGGACCCUUGCAUCAACAACGUCAGGUUCGAGCGUGUGCUUGUCGACGGGGGCAGCUCCAUUGAUAUCCUUUUCUGCAACAGCCUGCCUGCUCUCAAGCUAACCCCGGCGCAACUGAAGCCGUAUGAUGCUCAGUUUUGGGGCGUCCUGCUAGGUCAAAGUUCAGUACCCCUCGGGCAGAUAACGCUGCCCAUCCAGUUUGGAACGCCACACCACUUUCGCAUAGAGUUCAUCAACUUUGUGGUCGCCGACUUCGACGGUACCUAUCACACAAUUCUAGGCCGCCCCUCGCUGACCAAGUUCAUAGCAGUUCCGCACUACUCAUACCUGGUCCUCAAGAUGCCAACCGAGAAAGGCGUCUUGACCGUCAGAGGCAACGUCUACACCGCAUACACUUGCAAGGAGAAAAGCUUCAAAGUUACCGAAGCAAUUGAUAUCUCGAUUCGCAUGGCAGAAACUGCAGUUCAAGCCGCGCAAGUUCCACCCGACCAGCUCCAACUACCCGAGCAAGAGACUCCAAGGAAGAGCUCCAAGUCCAAAGAGCACAAGGAAGUACAACUAGUCGACGGCAGCCCUGAGAAGACAGCUCUUAUCGGGGCCAACCUAGACCCCAAAUAGGAAGACGCGCUCGUCAGGUUUCUAAGGGACAACGUAAGUGUUUUCGCAUGGAAAGCCGCAGACAUGCCCGGCGUCCCACGAAACCUGAUCGAGGACUCCUUAAACAUCUCAAAGACCGCAAGACCUAUCAAGCAGAAACUACGACGGUUCGCUCAUGACAAAAAGGAGGCUAUUAGGAUAGAAAUAACACGGCUACUAGCAGCCGGAUUUAUUAAAGAAGUGUAUCAUCCUGAUUGGCAUGCCAAUCUAGUUCUUGUAAGAAAGAAGAAUAAUGAAUGGAGAAUGUGCGUUGAUUACACUGAUCUCAAUAAACACUGUCCUAAAGAUCCUUUCGGUCUCCCUCGUAUCGAUGAGGUGGUCGACUCAACGGCCGGAUGCGAACUCCUUUCUUUUCUCGACGGUUACUCUGGUUAUCACCAGAUCUCGCUAAAGGAAGACGACCAAAACAAAACUUCCUUCAUUAUUCCUUUCGGCGCAUAUUGUUACACCACCAUGUCCUUUGGACUGAAAAACGCUGGGGCCACCUAUCAACGCGCUAUUCAGCAAUGCCUCUGUGACGAGAUACGUGACGACCUCGUCGAGGCUUACGUGGAUGACGUUGUCGUCAAAUCCAGGGACGCGAGCACCCUGAUCGACAACUUGGACCUCACUUUUAAGGCGCUAAAUAAAUACAAGUGGAAGCUCAAUCCCAAAAAGUGUGUCUUUGGGGUCCCCUCUGGUCUACUGCUCGGCAACAUCGUCAACCGUGACGGCAUACAGCCGAACCCUUCAACAGUUAAGGCAGUACUUCAUAUGCGACCACCUAAGAACGUCAAAGACAUUCAAAAUCUCACCGGAUGCAUGGCUGCUGUUGACGGUCCUUAAAUACUAAAAUUAAUAAUCAAAUAAACAUGAAAAAGGAUCAAUAUGAAACAAACAUCUAGAAUUAGGGUUUUAUCUGACAGAAUUCCACGAGCUUUGGUGUUUAUCUAUUUCUGCAGGGGUUUAUCAGAAAAUAGGGAGAGAAGGCCCACAUGUCAUGUUUACAACGAGAUAAUUACGUGCCGCGCAAUUUUCCUCAAUCUAGAAGGAUCCAGAAGCCACGGGAACGAACGGGACGCGAAUCGGGCUCGGGAGCUGGGCGGCCGCCCACCCCCCUUGGGCGCCCGCCCUGGCCAGGAAGCCAAUCAGGACUCUGUUUCGGGACAACUCUCCACCGACCUAAAGGAUCAAUCUAAACCAUACAAUCUAUGUCGGUUUGAUCCAAUGGCUCACGUUCACUUGAGGGGACUAUAAAACCAGACCCCCUGGCCCCUGGAGGAGAGGAGGAGAAAUCAUUAUUCAGAGGUAGCCAUCAAAGUUAGGGUUUAGAGCUUCUCUCCCACAGAGAAUUAGAAUUAGCUACUCCCUAAUCCUUCAAGUUUAGAGGUUGAUUAGAUAGCAAUUAGAGAAGUAGAGCACUACGCUCUGGAUUCGGAUCUUCGGUAAUAAAGAUUGGUAUUAUUCAUAUCUUUCUCUAAUUCUAUUGUUCUAAUUGCAUUAUGUCUUUAAUUAUUAUGUUAUUAGUUUGCUCUAGUUCUAUAUUUGAUAUAGUUAUGAUUGAUAAUGAGUUUAUGUAUAAGUUUGCAAAGCGCUUAGCUCUUGUCGCGAGGGAGUUAAGUGAUAGAUCACAUGUGAGCGUGGUGCUUAGAUGUUAUUUAUCUGCAAAUGUAUCCUAUUGGCCGAGUCGUGUGGUAGUUCGCGAUAGUGACAGCUUCGUUGAUUCUUAUAUAGUCCACCCUCCGUUGAUAGGACAGGCAGAACCGGUAUUGUGGAGUAAGUCAUGCGAUGUUCUGAUUUACUUUAUCAAUGUUCCUUAUACAUGAAUGAAGAGUCUUUUAUGCUAUAUAUGAUCUUGUAGAUAACUAGAGUAGAUUAUGACUUAGUAGUUAGUAGAUAACUUAGAAUCCAUUCUCUAGCUAAUCCGACAUCACCUACAUAUAUGAGGAGUAGUCUAUUUUCUAAUCGCUGUGUUAUCUACCCAUGAACUUAUACUUUAUUAUCAUUAUCUUUAUGGUUUACCCCCUGCUAAAGUAUGUGACUGUGUGAUGAGUUUCUCAUUAGUAAUCAUGUUCUUGCAAGUUUAUCUCUAGUCUAUGCCUUGAUAGAUUUUGCCCCCUUUUAUUUUAAUUCCAUCUUCUUGAGAUCCCCUAAGCAAAAUUAUAACGGUACCUGGAAUACUUAUCCUGGUGAAAUGCUACAAUGAGGUGUUUUAUCUGUGCGCUUGCGGAUAGAAUAAAUUAUUUUCUAGAGAGCCUUUACAUUUAUAAAUACCUUUGUACACUCUGGCGCCAUGCUAGGGAUGACAACCUAGUAUCUAAGUGGUGUUAGCUAGUGUCAACAGCUGCUCUCAGCCGGUUUAUCUCUAGCCUGGGGGAAAAAGGCCUCCACUUUUUCAAACUUCUAAAAGCAUCGGAAAAAUUCUCCUGGAUAGAGGAAGCUAACGCUGCGUUCACCCAGCUCAAAACUUUCCUCACCUCUUGUCGGUGUUUUCCCCACGGGGGGUCACACCAACGAGUAAAUUUGUAUGCGUGCUCCCUUUCCUAGAUGGUGAUGCAAGAAGACACAGAGAUUUAUCCUGGUUCAGGCAAGAGAAGGCCCUAAGUCCAGCGGGGGAGGAAAGUUUGUAUUAUCUUGCACCUAAGUGCUUGUACAGGGGCGAAUACAAGCGUGGUAUGGAGUAUGGGAGUUCUACUGCGUAUGGGUGUAGUGUUGCCUGUGUCUUAUCUAUUCCCGGGUCCUUCCUUUUAUAGCACCAAGGAGAGACCCAGGGUACAUGUGUAGGUGUCAGAGUAGGGGUCGAUAGAAGCAUGGCGCGCUGACCUACUCGAGGCCUCUGUACCAGCGUGGUCUCGAGCCGUCCCGUCUCGGCAGCUUGGUGAUGAUCACGCCUGCUCCUGUAUCCUGCUCUGCGCGCCGUCUCGGGCUGGUUCACCGGUCGCACGCUUGUACGGUAUGGCGGCAGAUCCGGCGGAGCGGUUGCGGUGUUGUCAGUCGACGCUCAACUUGUCUCCAAGAAGGAAUCAUGUCUGGUCGAGGGUUGAACGCUGUGCAACGCCCUGAUAUCCGUAGCGCUGACCUUGGUUGUCUCGAGGGGGUCCUGAUUAGACGUUCCAUUCCUGUUUCCCGCGUCCUGACAUGCCCUGGGUCGUUUGGUGGGGAAGGCUGCAAAAAGAACGACGGGACGGGUGCCUGUUCCCUACCACGCUUCCCGUGAUCAGCGCGUUAGGUGGGAAAGCGACAGGUGCAUUAAAUGCCCUGGCUCUCGUGCGUGCGUCAGGCGGCGGGCGGCGUCCUUGCGCUCGACGCCUCCUGGAUCGCGCGAGCCCGUUUCCGUAUUCGACGGUAGCUGGUGCUCGACCCCUGAUCGAUUCGCUCGACGCCAUUUCCGUCUUCGAGGCUGCGUUCGUCGACGACCGCGCAUAUGUAUAACUAGAGCGUCGGGUCGAGGGCCUUGACCCGCGUAUGGGUAAUCUCGUUAUGUGCAUCGGUGAGGGUACCCCUUACUGAUACCCUCAACAGUAGCCCCCGAGUCUCCAUUUGAGCGAUGGCGCUCGAGUGGAGGGUCUGUUUUGCGAUCGAAUUUCCGUGGGGGCGCGCGAGCAACCCCGCGGGGGUAGCCCCCGAGCCCCUGGAGGAGUUUUUGACUCCUUCGAGGGUUAUAUUGCCUAAUUCGUAGAAGCGCCGUCGACACCAGUGGUGGAGGGUUCGGAUUGGCUCGUUUUGUGCGGAGGUUUCGACGUACUCUCGAUAGAGCGAGCGUCGUCCACCCCAAAUUGAGUUCAUAGUGGGUAGUCCAAGUGAGAACCUGUGCCCCUUUCGAGGGGGUCAGCUGUAGCCCGGAGGCGUUCUCAUAAAGCAGGGUCGACGUGGUCGGGGAUACUGGUCUCAUUCGAUAGAGUCCAGCGGCUUGACGCCUCCCGUCGGGGGGAUUCCUCUCGACUGUCUCGACCCUACCUUGGACAUCGCCAGCGAGUCUUCGAGGCGGGCCUCGAUCUUCGACCGCUCGCUGGGGAUCCCUGACUCUGGUGCUCGAGAUCGGCUGUCGAACCCUUUCGGUGGGCCAGCCAUCGACCUCUCGAGACUCUCGUGGGCGCAUCCCUUGGCUUACUAGGUAAGGAAAGAGCCGCGACGGUUCGCCUUUUUGCCUGUUGGGCGCGUCUUUUUAGGUGGAGACGUUACAACACUACGUCGACGUGGGAUUCGGAGCGCCCCACCUGUGAGGAGGGAAAGGACUGUUAGAUGGCGCAUUUAUGGGGGGAGUUACCUCAUUUCUCGGAUCUAUCCGUUGGCGGACUGCUGCCUAUAAAUACGCCGUGGCGUCGCCGCCGUUCUUUCUUCCACCUUCCGCCUUCUUGCCUUCGUCCUUUCGUUGCCUUAGCUCCCUUGUUGUCUCACGCGCGCGCGCAUCCCCUCGAGCGGUAGCGGAUCCACCGUCCUUCCGGCCAAGAUGCCUGUGAGGCUCGUCGCCGCCGACGACUGGCGCCCGUCGUCGAUAACGGAGCGCCGGUUGCUAGAUCUUGAGAGAGAGGGACUCCUGCGACGCCGCACCUCGCUGUCAUCGCCGGAGUGGAUUGCGCCGCCGGCGGGCCACAGGGAGCACCAGCCGCCAGAGGGCUACGUGGUGUCGUUCGCCAAAUUCCACCGAUACGGCCUCGUCGCUCCCCCGAGCCGCUUCAUGCGGGCACUCUGCCUCCACUAUAGGGUGGAGCUUCAGCAUUUCUCCCCGAACGCCAUCACCGUCGUGGCGGUCUUCGCCGUGGUGUGCGAGGGCUACCUCAGGUUGAUGCCCCACUGGGAGCUGUGGCUCCACCUCUACAGGGGCGAGCUUUUCAACGCCCCCACCGGAACCACUGGCGUGAGGAAGCAUGUGCGGGCCGGGUGCCUUAACCUGGUGCUGAAGACGAAGAAGACGGAGAGGCCACGCGAGUACAUCCCGGUGGGGUUGUCAUCGAACCACGCCAGAUGGGACUCCCAGUGGUUCUACCUGAGGAACGACGACGGUCUCUUCCCUGCUUACACCGGUCGUCUGAUUACGGAGCGCCCGGACAACUGGACAUACGGCGUCGUCCAGGAGCACCAGUCGCGGCUCGACCCCCUCCUCGACGCCCUGAAGAAGCUACGCCUGGAGGGCCUGUCCGCCGCUCUCGUCCUCUCGGCCGUCCAUCGUCGCAGGGUCCUCCCACUGAUGUCUCGGCCGCUGAGGAUGGAUGAGAUGGGGCCGGGCGUUUCGUCCCGAGAUCUCGAGGCAUGCCGGAUGUCCAACGAGGCUCUGGCAGACGAUGAAACCGCUGCUCGGGUUAGGGCGGCCAUCGCCAGCGACUUUAAGUUGGAGCAUGUCAACGACUUCCCUAUGAGGCCCGACGAAGGCUCGAUCGACCUGGUAUGCUCUUCUCUCGCGCAUAGCUCUGAUUCUGGAUUUCCCUCGAUCCUUUUUAAGCCUACCUUUGUUCUAGCAGGGACGCAUUGAUGUCCGGUCUUCGAGGCCCCCUGUGAAGGAGGACGAGGUCGACCGCGACAGACGGCGCUAGUCCGCCGAGAAGCUGAAGUCCGCCAAGGACUCUGCAAAGAAAGGGGAGAAAAAGAAGAACCUCGACCGCCAAGCAUUAGAGGCGCGUCGAGCUAAAUCCAGGCAGAGGGGGGAGCCUGAGGAAGAAUCCCCUAGCGACGACGACGAUGAUGACGAGGACAGCGACGACUCCGAGGGGACGGCGUCACGCCUUGACCGGAUCCUCGAGGGUCCGCCUCGAGGCGACGUCGACGCCCCCCAGAUGGAAACUCCAAAGGAGGGUCCUGGCGGAUCUCACCGCCCUCGGGCCGACACCCCUCCUGCGCUCAUGGCUGGUCAGCUCGCGCCGCGCCCUCCUCCAGCGCCUAGGGGGGCGGCCAUGCUAGGCCAUAGGCGACGGGGCCACUGACUCGUGGUCGCACCGCGGCCUCCGAGAAAGGAGAGGCCGGCCGCAGGAGCGCCAGUCCCGGUGCCCGUCAAGCGGGAGUUGCUGCGCCAAGGCCAGCGCCUGCCCUCGAGGGGCCUGGAGCCUUGACACAGGGUGGCUCGAGGCCCACCGGUCGGGGCGCCGGGAGGUGAGCUGUUCUCCUUGUGGGGUAAGCUUCUUCGAUACUGUGACUUUUGUUUUCCCGUUCCUCUGCAUUUUCUCGUAUGCCGAUCUUUUUACGCUCAUCCCUUUCUUUUCUCCGGCUAAAGUGGACACUCGAGCAGGCCCAGCCUUCAAUGGCGAAAAGGCUCAAAGCGGGAGCAGUCUCCAAAGAGCCAGGUUUGUAGCUUACUUCUGGUCUCGUGACGUUCUUGCAAGCCUUUAUUCUUCUUUUUGCAGGCUCGUCCGACUCUCAACCUCCGGCCGACGCCAAGAGUGCUCCGCCUCGUCCCGAGCCUACCCCGUUGCCGUCGACGCGUGGCGAAGCGCCCCAAACUCAGGUGCAAGAAGGAGCCCCCGAGCCUCCUCGAUUGGGGGUUGAGGCGGACCCCAUCACCAUCAGCGACACGUCUGGCGGUAACGAGGCGUCUGGGGAUGCCCGCCCUAUGGAGGAGGAGGCGUCGACCUCCCUCAUCGCGGGACGGACUCCCUGGCCCGCCGGCCUUCGAGGAGCAGAAGAAGAAAGAGGAGGGGGAGGAGGAGCGGGAGCACGAGGCAAUGCGGCAGCCGCAAGAGCAGCAGCAGCAACAGCAGCAGCAGGAGGAGGAACAGCAGCAGCAAAUGCUCGAGGGGCAGCAGCAGCAACAUCAGGGGGGCCAAGAAGAGGGACCCAUCGAGCCCCCACCUCACGGUCUGCCCCAACCAGUACCACCGGUGCCGCAAGAGCCCGGCGAGCAGGAAGAAGAUUUGCCGGUGUACGGCCCUCCAACCCCAGCGUGGCUCCUUCCGGGGGCACCUGCCGCGAUCCGGGCAGAGCCGGGGCGAGCGGACGGUGUGGUGGCACUCGCCUGCAUGAUGCGCACCCCCGCCGACCCCGAGUCCGAGAUCAGGAGGACGAUCUACUGCAUGGAUGGGAUCACCCCAGGGUUCCUCCAGGAGCGUCGGGAGUGGGAGGACCGCUUUCCCUCUGAGGAGGACGAGAUCAGGACGUCGAGGAGUAAGGACGGUACCUGGAAGACGGUGGACGACGACGGGCGGUUCCCAUGCCUCGUCGACCUGUUCUUGCGUCAUGGGGGCUCCCUCGAGACCGUCGAGGACCUUAUCCGCGGUGUCAAGGCGCGGGCUGACCGAGAGAUGGAGCACUGGUGCCCCGAUCGGAUCCGCAUCCGGGCUUCCACCGAUCCGUCCGAGCCCAACAUCUUCCUGGACGACAGGAAGGAGGCGAAAAAAUGGGAACACAUCGAGGAGCUCCGCCUUUGGAUGAAGCACGUGGUGGGGCUCCUAUCGGACGUCAUCAACAACGGGCUCGGGCCGGCCUACUUCGUAAGUAUUUUUUGGUCCUUAAUUCUCAUAGAUCCUUUGGUUUUGUGUUCUAAUCGUUCGACCCUCGGCUCGUAGGACAUGAAAGAGACCUCCCGUAUCAAGUCGAGCUUCCUUCAUGCCACAAGAGGAGGCUGGGAGCAGCUCCCCGUCCUCAAGGACCAACUCCUCGAGUCGCAAGAAAAGCUCCUUAAGGCCUAUAAAGACCUCAUAGCGCUCGAGGAGGAGAAGAAGGCGAGGGAGGCUGCCUUGGUCGAGGCUCGAGAGGCCUCAAGGAAGGCGGAGGAGGAGACGACGCUGCUGCGGGAGCGGGCUCUGACAGUCGAGGAGGCCGCAUCCAAAGCCCGGGAGGAGGCCCUGUCCUACAAGAAUGUCAUUGUCGAUCUGGACAAGGAGAAGGGCCUUCUCAAGACCAACCUGGACUCCCUCCGAGAAUCCUUCCAAAAGAUGAAGGUGGCGUAUGUGGACAACGAGGUCGCCAGGGGUGCCGCAGAGGACGCAAAGAAGAAGGCCCUCAAAGACCUCGAGGCGGAGCGGGCUCGAUCCCGCAGGCUCUCUGACGACGUCGAACGUCUGAAAGGAGAGCUGUUGGAGAAGAGUGGGGCCAUUGCUCAGGCUGGUAAGGUGAUCGAGGAUCUCCGCGUUGCUAACACUGAGCUGGCACGGUCCAACAAAGAGAUCGAGAGGGCCAACACCAGACUGGUCGGCGAGAACACGGCCCUGGAGGAGAGUGUCCGCGGUACGUUUCCUUUGUCGGAUUUCUUUUUCGAGGUGUUCUUGGUUUUUCCUAAAGCUUCUUGUAUUGGCAUUUACAGGGCUUAAGGACGAACUCUUAGCCGCCCAAGUCGAGGCCCGUAGUGCUAAGGCCCAGCUCGAGGCGGAGGUUGCUUUGAACCGUCGAGUGCGGACGGCGAUAAAUGACCUCUCGACCUCUUGGGAGGUCGAGCCUAUGGACGAGUCGAAGGAGGACGCUCGAGGCGACGCACUGGUCGACCAGCUGUGCUAUUUUGGCGCGAUGCUGAGAGAUCGGGUGCGGGAUGCCCUCCACAUCGGGGUGAAGCGGGCGAUGGUGGUUGUCUGCUCGGGCUUCUCCUACGACAUGGAAGUGGUGUCCCACGGCUUCGUCACCGAUAUCUCUAAGACCGACGCGGAGAAUGAAGAGAGGCUCCACGCCUUGAUCGACGACGCGGAGGCUCCUGGAGAGAGGCUGGCCAAGCUUUUUGAGCCUGAGGUGCUUCCUCCUGAGACUAGCUCGGGCUUAGGUGAGGGUGGUGAGGAUCGUGCUGAAGACUGAGGCCUGCGAGCCUGCUUAGGGUGCCUGGGGCCCCUUGUAUGAUACUCUGUUAACUUUUCUAUAAGUAGUACAAUGUCUUUUUGUGACUGUUUAAUGUUUAUCUAUCUUCCCGCUCGAGGUUCUUUUAUUUCUCUUUGCGCCUGCGUAUGUACUCCUUGUUCGAUCUUUCAUAAAAAACAACCUCGAUCAUCUCAAGGGUGAGGAAGUGAGUAGAGUUUCCAUAUCCCGGGGGCGUAGGAGUUCUCAGGCUCGUUAUCCCUCGGCCCUUAAGGGGCUCGAGGCGCCUCAAUUACUCGAUCGUGCAAGGUUUACUGAGUAAGGAAGAAAGAAUUUCUUGGCUUUUUCGACACUUGGGGGGGGGUCGCCCCCCUGGUAGCCCCCGAGGGGGUACCGACUAUGAUGGGUCAUAGUUGGUACUCCCUUCUAAUGUCAAGAUUUGGAAGAAAGUAAAUCGCUUGAGGGAAAGGCUUCAUUUAUUCAUACAUUCGUUUACAAGGCCUUGGUACAAAAUGUGCGUAGGAACAUAAAGUUGUGAACUUCUAGGGGUAGAAUCGACGUAGCUGUUCGAUGUUCCACGCGUUGGUGAAGAUCGCCCCCUUUCCGUCCGCGAGCUUGUAUGUCCCUGGCUUCAAGACCUCGGCCACCACGUAUGGGCCCUCCCAUGGUGGAGUCAGCUUGUGGCGUCCUUGAUUGCUUUGCCGCCGUCGUAGGACAAGGUCGCCCACGUUUAAGUCCCUUUUGCGCACGUGCUUGUCGUGGUAACGUCGAAGUUUCUGCUGAUAUCUGGCAGAGUUGAGGAGGGCCAUGUCUCGAGCUUCCUCGAGUUGGUCGACCGCGUUCUCUUGGGUCUCCUUAUUUGAUUGCUCGUUGUACGCUUUGAGUUGGGGGACCCAUACUCGAGGUCCGUGGGGAGGACAGCCUUAGAGCCGUAGACCAUGAAAAAUGGGGUGUAUUUUGUGGCCCUGCUUGGUGUUGUCCUUAGGCUCCAUAGGACCGAGGAAAGCUCCUCGACCCACUUCUUGCCGAAUUUCUUCAAGCGAUUGUAGAUCCUUGGCUUGAGUCCUUCCAAAAUCAUGUCGUUGGCACGCUCGACCUGACCGUUAGUUCGAGGGUGGGCUGCAUACCAGUUCACACAGAUGUGAUGCUGAUCGCAGAAGUCCAAGAACUUUUUGCCGGUGAACUGAGUGCCGUUGUCGGUGAUGAUGACGUUGGGAAUCCCAAAUCGGUGGAUGAUGUCGUUGAAGAAAAGGACGGCCUGCUCGGAGCGGAUGUUGGUGAUGGGUCGAGCCUCGAUCCAUUUGGAGAAUGUGUCGAUGGCCACCAUCAAGUGGGUGUACCCUCCUUUCGCCUUUUGUAGGGGCCCUACUAAGUCGAGCCCCCACACCGCAAAUGGCCAUGUGAUGGGAAUCAUCUGAAGAGCGUGGGCGGGCAGAUGCGUCUGUUUGGCGUAGAACUGGCACCCAUGACAUGAGCAUACGAGCUCGAUGGCAUCUGCUACAGCCGUUGGCCAGUAGAAGCCUUAUCGGAAGGCGUUCCCUACGAGGGUCCGUGGAGCAGCGUGGUGGCCGCAAGCCCCCGAGUGUAGGUCCUCGAGGAGUUUCCGGCCUUCUUCCACGGUGAUGCAACGCUGCAGGACCCCCGUCGGGCUUCGUCGACUCAUUGCCCUCGCCAUAGAUCACGUACGACUUGGCCCAUCGAGCGAUACGGCAGGCCUCAGACCGAUCUUCUGGCAGCUCGCAGCGAAUUAGGCAGUCGAGGAACGGUGUGCGCCAGUCGAACGGUCGACCGAGGCGCUGUUCUACUUCCAUCACCUCAGCCGCCAUCAACAGCGUGUCGACGGUAUCGGUUGGCUGAGCAGGAGCGGUGUCGACGCCAGCCCCCGAGCCCAAGUCGACGGAUGGCUCGUGAAGAUCUCUCGAGAGCGCGUGAGGUGGUACCGUGCCUCGGGUUGACGCGAUCUUGGCGAGUUCGUCGGCUGCCUCGUUGUAGCGUCGGGCGACAUGGACGAGCUCGAGGCCAUGGAAUUUGUCCUCGAGUCGACGGACUUCUUUGCAGUAGGCCUCCAUUUUCGUGUCGUGGCAGCUUGAAGUCUUCAUCACUUGGUCGAUGACGAGUUGGGAGUCGCCUCGGACGUCGAGGCGUCGGACUCCUAGCUCGAUGGCGAUCUUGAGACCGUUGACGAGGGCCUCAUACUCUGCGACAUUGUUGGAUGCAGCAAAGUGAAUCGUGAUGACGUACCUCAUAUGGACGCCCAAGGGAGAGAUGAACAGCAGGCCAGCCCCGGCCCCCGUCUUCAUGAGUGACCCGUCGAAAUACAUCGUCCACAGCUCCGACUGGACCUGAGUCAGGGGAAGCUGGGAGUCUGUCCAUUCCGCGAUGAAGUCUACCAGAGCUUGCGAUUUGAUGGACUUGGGAGCUCGACCGACCAUUUAGCUAUUCUUCCUAUGGCCUCCUUACUCUGGAUUAUCUCACCCAGGGGGAAAGACGAGACCACCGUGAUAGGGUGAACGAGGAAGUAGUGCUGCAGCUUACGGCGGGCGAGGAUUACGGCAUAGAUCAGCUUCUGGAUUUGGGGGUAAUGUGCCUUGGUCUCCGAGAGCACCUCGUUGACGAAAUAUACUGGCCUCUGGACUGGCAACGCAUGCCCCUCCUCCUGCCUUUCGACCACCACCGCUGCACUGACAACCUGGGUCGUCGAGGCAACGUAAAGGAGCAGUGGUUCCGUAGGUUGAGGUGGGACUAGGACUGGUGCUAAGGUCAGUGUUUUCUUCAGAUUUUCGAGGGCUCCCUCAGCCUCGGGGGUCCAAGAAAAACGCUCGACCUUCUUCAGGAGUCGAUACAGCGGUAGCGCCUUUUCUCCUAAUCUCGAGAUGAAACGGCUCAGCGCCGCUAGGCAUCCCGUGACUCUCUGCACACCUUUGAUGUCUCGAAUCGGCCCCAUCCUUGUGGUGGCCGAGACUUUCUCGGGGUUGGCCUCGAUGCCACGCUGGGAAACAAUGCAGCCCAAGAGCAUGCCUCGAGGCACACCGAAAACGCAUUUCUCGGGAUUGAGCUUGAUCUGGUUGGCGCGUAAGCAGCUAAAAGCGAUCUCGAGGUCCUGGAUCAGGUCUCCUUGACGCUUUGAUUUGACGACUAUGUCGUCGACAUAGGCCUCGACCGUCGACCCUAUAUGCUUGCCAAAUACGUGGAGCAUGCAGUGUUGGUACGUGGCUCCAGCAUUUCGAAGCCCAAACGGCAUCGUUACAUAGCAGUACAUCCCGAAAGGUGUGAUGAAAGAGGUCGCGAGCUGGUCGGACUCUUUCAUUUUUAUUUGAUGGUAACCAGAAUAUGCAUCAAGAAAAGAAAGGGUUUCACAUCCCGCAGUAGAAUCAACAAUUUGAUCAAUACGUGGUAACGGAAAGGGAACUUUUGGACAUGCUUUAUUUAAACUCGUAUAAUCGACACACAUCCUCAUUUUCCCAUUCUUUUUCUUAACUAGUACAGGGUUUGCUAACCAGUCCGGAUGAUGAACCUCCUUGAUGAAUUCGGCCGAUAAAAGCUUGUGGUCCUCCUCGCCAAUGAUCUUGCGCUUCUCCUCGUCGAAUCGGUGCAACCGUUGCUUUACUGGCUUGGAACCGGCUCGAAUCUCCAAGGAGUGCUCGGCGACUUCCCUCGGUAUGCCUGGCAUGUCCGAGGGACUCCAUGCAAACAUGUCGGCGUUCGCACGGAGAAAGUCGACGAGCACAGCUUCCUAUUUGGGGUCGAGGUCGGCGCUGAUCGUCAGCACCUUGCCGUCGGAGUUGUUGGGGUCGAGCGGGAUCUUCUUGGUUCCCUCUACUGGCUCGAAGCCGCCCGCGUGGCGUUUGGGCUCUGGAGCCUCAGCGGCCAGGGCCUCGAGUUUUGCGACGAGCUCGGUGGAGUCCUUGACCGCCUCCCCAUACUCGACGCACUCGACGUCGCAUUCGUAAGCAUGCUCGAAGGAGGAGCUGACAGUGAUGACGCCUUUGGGACCGGGCAUCUUCAGCUUCAAGUAGGUGUAGUUGGGUAUAGCCAUGAACUUGGUGUAGCCCGAGCGCCCGAUGAUGGCGUGGUACGUGCCCCGAAACCCGAACACCUCAAAGGUGAGGGUCUCCUUCCUGAAGUUGGUCGCCGUGCCAAAGCAGACCGGUAAGUCGAUUCGACCUACUGGCAGCGCCUUUUUCCCUGGCACAACGCCGUGGAAACCACCGGCGCUUGGUUGAAGCCGUCCCCUGUCGAUGCCGAGGAGGUCAAGGGUCUCGAGGUACAUGAUGUUGAGGCUGCUGCCUCCGUCCAUUAGCACCUUCGAGAGCCUUGUAUUGACGAUGAUGGGGUCGACGAUGAGCGGGUAGACGCCCGGGGCAACCACCUUGUCGGGGUGAUCCUCUCGGUCGAAGGUGAUGGGUGUGCUCGACCAGCUGAGGUACUGGGGCACCGCCAUUCUUGCCGCGAAGACCUCACGGCGUUCCCUCUUGCGCUGCCUUGCAGUCAACUGCGUCGAGGGCCCACCAUAGAUCAUGUAGCAGUCGUGGACAGCAGGGAAACCAUCGUCGUCCUUGUUGCCCUCCUUGUCGCUGCCCUUCUCCUUCUUGGGGUCGUCGCGCGCGUCCUUUCUGAACCCCAGGCUGUCGAAAUGCUUUUUCAGCAUACGACAAUCCUUGAGCUUGUGGUUGGCUCCUCCUUUGUGGUAAGGUCAUGGUUCCUCUAGCAUCUUAUCAAAAAUACCUCCAUCUGGGGGCCUCGAGGCUUCUUCCGCUCCAUGGCGGCGACGAGGACGUCGUCGAAGUUCUCCUGCUUGAACUGCCGCACCUUCUGCUUCUUCUUGUUCUUCUUGAGCCCUUGACUGGGGGUCCCGUCUUCAUCGGCAGGCUGCUUGCCUUUCCUUCCUUCACAACCGAAGAAGGCACCGACUGCUUUCUCCCCUGCUGCGUAGUUUGCCACUACGUCCAUGAGCUCAUCGACGGUCUGAGGUCGGUUCCGACCCAAUUCCCGCACCAAGUCUCGACUGGUGGUACCAGAGACAAAUGCCAGGAUGACGUCGUGGUCAGGGAUAUGUGGCAGCUCGGUGCGCUGUUUUGAGAAGCGUCGAGCAUACUCUCGAAGAGUUUCUCCUGACUUCUGUUUGCACUUGCUGAGGUCCCACGAGUUCCCGGGCCGUAUGUAGGUCCGUUUGAAAUUACCCUCGAAGACUCUAACCAAAUCGACCCAGUCGUGGAUCUGAUUGGCUGGGAGUUCCUCAAGCCAUCGACGGGCGGUGUCGGAGAGGAAGAGCGGUAGCUGUCUGAUGAUGGCUCGAUCAUCUCCUCGAGCGCCUCCUAGCUGACAGGCUAACCUGAAGUCUGCCAGCCACAGUUCUGGUUUGGUUUCACCAUUGUAUUUUGCGAUGCUGGUUGGGGGUCGGAAUGGACUGGGCAGGGGUGUGCUGCGGAUUGCUCUACUAAACACCCGUGGGCCUGGUGGCUCGGGGGCAAUCCGGUCCUCGUCGCUGUCGUACCUCCCACCGCGAUGCGCGCUGUAAUCGCGCUAUUCCGCGUCCCCAUACUGACGGCGUCGAUUCUCUUCGAUGUCAUGCCGCGUGUCGUGUCGACGCUGAUUGUCGAUAGGGAGGACGAGAGUGGUCUUUCUUCCUCGAGGAGGUGGCUGUUGAUGGACUGACACCUCCUUUUCGUUUUGGGGUGGCUCAUCGCGCUUUUCAGUGGCGGCUCCUCGUCGUCGAGAAGCUGAGCUUUCGGCUUGUUGAACCGCCGCUACCUGGAGCAGAGUCUGCACCUCGUCUCGAAUGCGUCGAGCUUGGGAGUUCGAUGGCUCUGGCAUGUUGCGUAGCAGCAUUGUUGCUGCCACUACGUUUUGGCCUGCUCGUGGGAAGCGGCUGACAGGUUGCUCUGGUUCCGCGUCUCCGACGAUUUGCCGGUGUACCUCUCGAGCUCGCCUACGGACACUUCCGCCGGGCGGGUAAGGCAAGUCUUGUUUGAGGAUUUGCUCGAGCACGACGAGGCGCUCACGGUCUUCGUCGAGCUUUGUCUUGAGCUCUCGUAGCUGCGCAGCCCUGUCUUCCUGUGGAAGGGGGUCGACCUGUCCGUCGUUCCCAGGCGUCCUGGGGUCUUCCCUUGCUGCAGGGACUCGACCGCCGGCAGCAGCAUCCUGUGUCUCGUCGGUAGUUUCUACCGCCCCGUCGAUGUGAUAGCAUUCCCUAGUUGGGUCGUAGCUAUCGGUCUCGGAGUCGGAGUCCGGCUUGGCGGCGUAGAAACAUCCACGUCCCUCCUCCAGCAGCCGCUGUCUGAGUGAGGUGAUCGUGUACCGUCCAGGGCCUAGGCGACGGAGGCCUCGUACCUGGGAGAAAUCCGGCUAUUCGGACGUCGGCCGCUGCAUCUCAGAGUUACGUGGGAGGACCAUUGGUCUUUCCACGUACGUCUGGGCGUUCAGGCAUAUCGCUCUGGCGAGCGACGCCGCGGCGUUGUCCAACCCGAAUGGCAGUGCCCUUCCUGGGGUGACCAACCCGUGUGGAAGUAAUCUGGCGGCGGGGGAGAGCGCGCGGGGCACGUCACCUCUUGUCGUCGUGUGAUGCUGAGCCGGCACGUCCACGGUCCUGGCUCGCGGUGUUACCGGCUGCUGCGUCACCUCCUGCCUAGCACGAACAGCUGGUCGUGACGAGACAGAGGGGCGACGAUGAUACUGCCCACGCCUCUUCUUGGGCGGGGAGGCAUGAUGGCGAGGGCGUCUCGGGGCCCUCAACCGUGCUGGCGCAACGCGGGCUCCUCCUGGUCCUUUGAUCGAGAGCAAGAUCAUGUCAUAGCCAGAGCCGGUCGACAUGAACUCAAGACUCCCGAACCAAAUCACGGUGGAGUGCGGGAUCGGCGAAACGGGAGUGGCCAUCUGGAAAGGAGUGGGAAAUUGAUGAAAAACACGCAGGACCCCUACCUGGCGUGCCAACUGUCGGUGUUUUCCCCACGGGGGGUCACACCAACGAGUAAAUUUGUAUGCGUGCUCCCUUUCCUAGAUGGUGAUGCAAGAAGACACGGAGAUUUAUCCUGGUUCGGGCAAGAGAAGGCCCUACGUCCAGCGGGGGAGGAAAGUUUGUAUUAUCUUGCACCUAAGUGCUUGUACAGGGGUGAAUACAAGCAUGGUAUGGAGUAUGGGAGUUCUACUGCGUAUGGGUGUAGUGUUGCCUGUGUCUUAUCUAUUCCUGGGUCCUUCCUUUUAUAGCACCAAGGAGAGACCCAGGGUACAUGCGUAGGUGUCAGAGUAGGGGUCGAUAGAAGCAUGGCGCGCUGACCUACUCGAGGCCUCCGUACCGGCGUGGUCUUGAGCCGUCCCGUCUCGGCAGCUUGAUGAUGAUCACGCGUGCUCCUAUAUCCUGCUCUGCGAGCCAUCUCGGGCUGGUUCACCGGUCGCACGCUUGUACGGUAUGGCGGCAGAUCUGGCGGAGCGGUUGCGGUGUUGUCAGUCGACGCUCAACUCGUCUCCAAGAAGGAAUCAUGUCUGGUCGAGGGUCGGACGCCGUGCAAUGCCCUCAUAUCCAGAGCGCUGACCUUGGUUGUCUCGAGGGGGUCCUGAUUAGACGUUCCAUUCCUGUUUCCCGCGUCCUGACACGCCCUGGGUCGUUUGGUGGGGAAGGCUGCGAAAAGAACGACGGGACGGGUGCCUGUUCCCUACCACGCUUCCCGUGAUCAGCGCGUUAGGUGGGAAAGCGACAGGUGCAUGAAAUGCCCUGGCUCUCGUGCGCGCGUCAGGCGGCGGGCGGCGUCCUUGCGCUCGACGCCUCCUGGAUCGCGCGAGCCCAUUUCCGUAUUCGACGGUAGCUGGUGCUCGACCCCUGACCGAUUCGCUCGACGCCAUUUCCGUCUUCGAGGCUGCGGUCGUCGACGACCGUGCAUAUGUAUAACUAGAGCAUCGAGUCGAGGGCCUCGACCCGCGUACGGGUAAUCUCGUUAUGUGCAUCGGUGAGGGUACCCCUUACUGAUACCCUCGACACCUCUGUUGGCGGUUCUUAAUGACAUAUUUACCCCGCCAACGUAGUCCAUGCAAAGGAAGAAAAGCAUGUAUUUUACUCACAUAUACUUAUUAAAUGCUUACCAAGUUCCACAUGUAGUGCAAGUUGUGUUUUGCAGAUCAUAUACAGGCAUACAGGUGGAAAGCAAAUAAAAAGGCGCAAUCCGACACGUCAAAAAAUGCGCAAAUAAACAAGUACCCAAAAGCCCAAUAUAGAAGUGCAUCAAUUUGCAGGUGGAUCUGGACUCAGGGGCCCGAGAGGAAGGCAACGGGCUUCGCGCCGGGGCCAGCGGGGCCCACCAGGGGGCGGCCGCCCCCUAGGGUCGGCCGACCCUGGCCCAGCCCAUCUCGGCACCGCCUUUCGCAAAGGCGGUGCUGAGCCUAUCCUCCCGCAGUCCCCGCAUGCAAAUUGCAGUUUACACCCUAGGGAACCGACCUUCCCCACCUAUUUAAGGAGGGGGAGAGGGAGGCUCCAUUCAUCUCAUCACAUUCAGAAUCAACACUCCACCUUCAAGGCACUUGGGCACUACCUCUUCUUAGUUUUUCCUUUUAGCUUUUAGAGAGAGAGUUGGGUGAGCUAUCAAGGAGGGCUUGGCUCCUUGGAGAGAAACUUGGGUAUGAAUAAAGAAUAUCUUUACUCCAAGUCCAUGCCUUAUCAUGUCCGAUAUAGUUCUUCAUAUGAACUAGAGUAUAGUUCUUAUGCUAUGGUAUAUGACAUAGAUCAUAGGCCCUGUUUUAUGAUGCUAGCAUAUGAACUAUAAUAUAGUUCUAGUGAAAAUGAUAUGACAUACAUUUUAGUAUAUAGUUCUUAUAGUAUAAUGCUAGCCUAGGGCUAGUAGUGUAUUAUAUGAACUAGUGCUAAGUGUAUGUUGUAUUAUUCUCACUUAGGACUUUAGUCUAAUUGCUUCAUGUUAAUUAAUUGCCUAGAAAUAGCUUUGUGUGAAGAUGGGGGUUUAUCAUGCUCUUUUGAGUAGGCUCGGGCUUCUUACCUGUCGAUCCGUAGGGUCGGGGACCCGAGGGAGUCUGAGUAGGUUCUUUGCAUGUAAGCAUGGUGCUUGGGUGUAAAGGCCGGGUAAAUGCAUUGUCCUAGUCCACGGUUGAGGGGAUGGCGGCAGGUGGUGACAGCCCUGUCCGUCCUUGGCAUUCCCCCACGUUCGGCUAGGGUGUAGGAGUCUAAAUAGUUGUGGAGGUUGCUGGCAGACCAGUACUCGCGUAACCUCCCAAACCAUCUAAACACAGCCCCGCUGUUGACACGGCCGGCAAGAACUUCGAGCUACGCACCCGCCUGAUCACCAUGGUGUAGGCGAGCCCAUUCUGUGGCUUGCCAAGCGAGGAUGCGAAUGCACACCUUCAACACUUCCUGGAGCUAUGUGACACGAUUGUCAUCAAGGACAUCACUCCUGAUGUAAUUCGGCUCCGCCUCUUUCCUUUCUCCCUCGUGGGGAAGGCGAAGAGGUGGUUCUAUCAAGAUAAGGAAGCUGUCACCACGUGGGCAAAAUGCUCCGCGGCAUUCCUCGCCAGGUUCUUCCCCAUAAGCAAAACCAAUGCUUUGAGGGGAAGGAUUGCCAGUUUUUAACAAAAUGCCAGCGAAACAAUCCCUGAAGCAUGGGAGCGGCUACAAGAGUACAUCCUAAGCUGCCCCCAUCACGGCAUGGAGAACUGGAUGGUGCUCCUGAACUUCUACAAUGGGCUCACGCCCAUGUCGAAGGGACACCUAGACGCCGCCGCUGGAGGCACGUUCCUAUCACUUACCACCGCCGGGGCCAAGGCCCUGAUCGAGAAGAUGGUAGAACACCAAGCUGGGGGGAGGACAGAACUCAACCACCAGCUGCCAAAACACAAAAAGCCAUGCAUACUGUGAAGGAGAUGGAUAUGCUUGCUGCAAAAAUAGAUUUAUUGAUGAAGCAACUCACCGAAAAGAACCAAGAAAACCCCUCGAACUCGGUGAAGGCCAUAGACUCGCACAUGACGUGCGAGGUCUGUGGAGAAGUUGGCCAUUCGGGGAAUGAUUGCCCCGAAACCCAUGAAGACGCUGCCUACAUCAACAAUGGGUUUCGCCAACAAGGAGGCGCCAACCAAGGUAAUGGUUGGAAUAAUCAGUCACACUCUUCAUUCCAAGGUAAUUCGAGUUUUAAUUCGAAUCAACCUUCAUUAAAAGACCUAGUUCUUAGACAAGCUAAAAUAAAUGAAAACAUAACUAAAAAGUUGCUGUCCAAUGAUAAGGUUUUAGAAAACAUAAAUACAAAAAUAGAAAACCUUGCCUCUUCCGUACAAAACAAACUGAGAUUUAAUAAAAUGAUAGAAACACAACUAGCUCAGAUCGCCGCUGCAAUUCCUACUGAGAAUGCGGGUAGACUCUCGGGGCAACCCGAGAACUCUCCCACUAACCAUGUAGGGUGAAAUUCAAACGACGGAAGAGAGUCCUUCUCAAAAAGGACUAUAAACAUUUUUUUUGAGCCUCCGCCGAAGGUAAUCGGUAGUUAUCUUCAAACAAAAAUUUGAAAAAUAUUCAAAAAUUCAUUUUCAACUAGGAAAUAAAAUAAAAUAAUAGAAAAAUAUUUUUUCUAAAUUUUUCGAAAAUAAAAAUUUUACAAAUAAAUGUUGGGCAAAAGUCACUUUUUUAGCUGGAAGUGCAUCAAUAUGCCAACGGAAAACUUCAAAAAACUAGCCGUUGGAAGAUGGAGACAAAAGCUGGGGAGCAGCAGGGCCCACCAGGGGGCGGCCGCCCCUAGGGUCGGCCGACCCCCCCCAACGGCUCUGGCCAACGGCCAGCUGGGGGAGGCUCCUAGCCGUUGCCCUCACCCCGAAUCCACCUGCAUUUUCAAACUAUAAAUACCAGGGGUUCAGGUGUGGCCCUCUCCACCCAUUCUCACAUCACUUCAUCACUUCCAUCUUCACUCUCCAAGCAACACUUUCACAUCUUUGCUAUUUCCAACCAACCACCAGCAGAAACCUCACAAAAAAAUCACCUAUCCAAGCUAGCUAUCCACUGGUGCAAGCAUUGCACCAUGAAAAGGUUCGGCAAAAUAGUUUUGGGGGCGUUUAAAAGAGUCACGAGGUCAUCCUCGAAGCGCCCUAUCGGAGCACUUCCUCAUACUACACCGAUCCCCAAUGGAGUCCUUCCACUGUGGAAGAAUCUACGGAGAUCGAGGAGGUAGAGGAAGAGGUAGAGGAAGAAGAAGAGGAACAAGAGGAGGAACAACAUAAAGAAGGAGGAGCCCACCAAUUCGACUUGGUGGGUGAUCGAGAACAUCAAACCUACAACAUGCUCAAGGACCGGAUCUUCCUCCAUACGCCGGUCUACGACGACUCGCUCCUCUCCGACAUCGGUAUGGACUCUGAAUUCCUCUCCAUAUGGAAAGCCACUGGGUGGGACAACAUUCACCCCAUAACUGAGUAUGGAUCCUAUACCCUUACCAUUCAAUUCCUAUGCACUUUAAGAGAAACAUAUGAAGGUAUUUCUGUUCGUUUAUUUGGAAAUGAAUAUGCUAUCUUUUGGAAAGACUUAAGCAAAUACCUUGGUUUUCAUCAAAGAUGCUCUCUUGAUUUAGUGCAUGCCACAAAAGGGUUUAAUAAGGAUAAAUUUUGGGAAGAAAUCACGGGGCAAGUUCACACUGGAAAAUACUAUCCUAGAAAUGCCCACAUCCAACACCCCACUCUAAGGUUUUUACACCUUUGGCUAUCCAUAACAAUAUUUCCUAGCCAGGGUACCCGCGUUGUGCGAGUAAAUGAAAUGAGGUUACUUUACACGGCUAGAAUGAAAAUAAAAGUUGCGCCUGUGCAAGAAAUUGUAAGGCAUUGGUUAGAUAUAAUCAAGACAACCACCCCUAUCUCUUUGACUUCACUCAUAACACGUUUGGCCACAGCCAUUAGUGCGUUGGAAGGGCAAGAUCUUGAUUAUAUUCAUAUUCCACGCACCCUGAUUAAUGAAACCUAUCUUAUCCAAGGUCACCAUUUGAAAAGAGAUAAUGCGGGCGGUCUUGUGUUUUAUUUCCCAGGGUAUACAAACGUAAUCCGGUUACCUAACCCGGGUCUACGCUUGUAUAACUCUGAGAGACUAACCUUUGAUUUGCAGACAGCUAAAACUGCGCGAAGGCGUAGUGUUUCUGGCAGGGACAUCGGCGGAUCCAGCUCCCAGCCACCACCCUCCUAUACACAGCCGAUCUACCAGUCGGGGUGGGACACACCCGUGCCGACACAAGGUGUUGAGGGGUGGGCUGAGGCGGAUUCUGUAACACCCUAGGUGUUAAGCAUGCACUUAGUCUCAUCAAAGUCAUGCAUAAGCAUUCCCAUCAAGCAUAAGCAUCAUGAGCAUGACACUCUUCUCAAAUUAUGAUUUGAUGUGCUUCACUUCUUGAGUUUAAAUAUUCUAAAAAUAUGAUGCUUGCUUCUAAAAUUGUGAAAUAUUCAAAUUAGGUUGCUUUAUGUGUAAGAAAAAUUUAGAAUAUUUUUGUGCAAUUUUUGGAGCUAUGGAAAUUGAGAAAUGGAAUUUAUACAAAAAUAUCCAAAAAGAAUUUAUUUAAAACCUAGAACUGAGUUUUAACUUGUAAUUCAAAUUCUGUUUGGAAUUUGGUCUUGCUUGUUAAAGCAAAGUUGUAGAGUUUUUGUUUUGGAACAACUUUGUUUUUGGGAGCAAGAGGUGAAAAUGAUUUUAAAUUGGUCCAAAUGAAUUUAGAAAGAAUUUGAGAAAAGAAUUUCAAAAAAAAAAGGAGAAAGGGGGCAGGCGCUGCUGGGCCGACCCGCCUCCCUUCUGGCCCAGCUGGGCAGCGCGGCCCGCUCCCCCUCCCCUCUCUCCCGCGCGCGCGGCGCCCGCCUUGCCCCACCCGGCGCCGGCCACGUGGCGGCCGUACGCAGGCGUUGGACGCGCCGCGGCCGGCCUCCAACCCCCCUGGUCGGGACGCCGACGCAGGCUCCCAGGCCACUCCCUCCAUCCUGUCUCCCCCGCGCCCUCCUUCUCCUUCCUCCUCCGCUCGCACCGCGCAGCAGCAGCCGCUCCUCCGCGCGCCAUUGCCGGAGAGAGCUCCGCCGCUCGUCGCCGGCCGCACCAGAGCCUCAAGCUCGACGCCGAGAGCACCAGGGCACUCGCCGUCGCUAGGGUAAGCUCGUGCGAACGUUCUACCGAGGUGAGAGUCCGUCGAGUGCCGUGAAUCGCUCGCCGGAGUUACCCCGAGCUCGCCGGAGUACUCCGCCGCGACGGAUCUAGCGUUUCCCUGCCUCUUUUCGCUCGUUCUCUGUUGCGCUAGGUCGGUAGGAAGGUGAGGAAGCUCGGAGAGGCGUUUGCGCACGCUCUACCGCGCCGGAGCAGCCUGGCCACGGCGAGCAGCGCCGCCGUGCCGCCAUGCAUGCUCGCCGGAGGUGUUCCGGCCGUCCUCUGGUCGAUCCAAGGGUACCGCUGGGUGCGUCUUGCUGCGGGGAGCACGUUGGUGCUCACCCCGUGGCCGGAGACCUCACCGCCGGCGAAAUCCGCUCGUCGGAGGUGAGCUCCCUCUCGGUCUCGCUGACUGGUGGGGUCGGGGACCCACUGUCAGUCGCAGGGGUACCCCGGUGGGUGUAGAUCUGGGUGUGCGUAGCCUUUUUCGUCGGUUUUCUUGAAAAAGUGUUUUCCAGAAAUUGAUUUAAAGUUUGUAAAAUCUAUAUCUUGAGUUCUACAGCUCCAAAUUGAAUGAAAUAAAUUUUGGUGUGCUCUAUAUUUCCAGAUCUACAGUUUGAUGUAAUUGCAUGUCAUGUUGGAGUAACUUUUCUGUGUGAAUAUAUUUUAUCCAUGAUUUUGUUAAACUUGGAAAAUGCAUAGUAAAUAAAAUAUGGCUCAGAAAAAUGUGAAACUUGAUUUGUUGGCUUUGCAUGUGUGUUUGCUCACUGGGAAAAUGUGGGUACAUAUUAUUUGAUGAAUAAAUGAAUUUAUGGUAAUUUAAAUGCUUGCAUGGCAGUGCUUUAUGAUUUUUAAUAAUUAAAUGGGUCAUGCAAGAAAUCUGGAAAAUUUUGUGGGUGUUUCUUAUGAUGUUAGACAAAUUGUAAAAAUAUGAAAUCUGUUGUUUGACACUUAUAUCACAGUAGAGUGAUUUUACUUACCUUAUCAAUUAAUCUUGUGAUUUUUGUGGCUCAAAAUAAGUAACCAAAAAAUUAUGAAAAAUUUACAGUAGACUUUAUGAUUAGCUAGUAGUCUCCUGUAAUUUUUCUAGAAUUUAUUGAUGAACAGAAUUGCAUGUGAUUUUAAUGAGCCUAGAAAUGAAUAAAGAAAAUUAUGAAUGGUUGCAUAUCUAGGUUGAAUGGAAUAAGUUGGGUUUGGUGUAUCUUUGAAGCAUCCUGUGGGUUACUGAUUGCAUUUGAAAAAUAAUUGUAAAAGAGAAUGCAAUAGAUGUUUAAUCCAAGUGCCUGUUCUUGGAUGAUGUUGCAUACCUUGUGAUGAGCAUGACCAAGUGUAUCAUCCAUGCAUCAUGACAUGGUCCUUUGGUACCUUCUCAUACAAGCAUCCAUUCGGGCAUCUCACACUCCACUCAUGAGCACACAUGCAUCAUACAGGCUCGCAGGAGAACGAGGUGGGACCCGAGGAGCCAGAGGAGACUCAGGAGCAGGAACCUCUGGAAGCACCGGAACCCGGAGAGGAACUGCAGGAGUGUCCGGAUCACCGACCCAGCACGUUUGAGAAAGGCAAGCCCCGGAGCAUUCUAAGUCUCCCUAUUCUCGCUAACUUAUGUGAUGCACUAUACUUGUUCUACUACUGCAUUUAAGCGGUAGGAGUUGCCUGAUACCGUUGCUGCAUAUGUACUCCUUGUUAUUCCUACUCGUUUAUCUACCUUGUCCUAUGUAGAUAGGCGCGGAGUCUAUGCUUAGCUUGCUUAGUCCGGUAGAAGUCGGGUGAUUUCCUGUCACCUGCGAGAUAUAGGUGGAUACCUGCUUGAUUAAGCUUUGGUUGCUUGGGAAAAGGAUGACCAAUUGUGGAAUGAAUUUGGAGACCGGGCAGGGUCUUAUGGUGGGUUGACCAUAGUGCCCCUGCCUGUGUCGAUUAAGGACCGAUCGUUGACGGCCCUCUUGUCAUGUUGAACGCAUGCCCCACACUUAGCUGGAAGGAUAAGUCGUUCCGACCGCGAAGCCUGAGCACUAUCCGGGCCGGGAAUCGGCCCGAUGUACGCGCUGUAUUGGUGAUGGUUGAGGAGAACGACGAGGGCGCGGCGCGCAACCUUGGUAUACCUUGGAUACCUCGGUCGCCGGAACGGUCCUCGGGUACGGGCGGUGCCUGUCGAACCCGCGAAUUGGUCCUGGAUAGUGCAACACGGUGACCUGUAGCUCACUUGAUCAGUGAGUGUGGUUUGUGUGGGGAAUAAAUUCGCCAGCUGGUUAGAAAUCGAUUCGAAUCGCCAUCGCUCCUGGAUAGUGAGCACUUGACAUGAGCUUCGUCCUCGUAGUAAGGACUAUGGAACACUUGGGUUAUAAUGAUGAAUGGUUUAAGAAAUGCUAUGAUGAGGUACUAUCAUAGUCUCAUACUUGCUUGUAAUAGCACAGGAGCAAACCUAGAUAAUAGGUAAUGAUACUUUCAACUUGAGCAGAUUAAAAGAAGAAAAGAUUUAUGUAGGUUAGGGUAAUAAAACCUUGCGGUCUUUGCAAAAUGGUUGUCAGCUACCCCACUAAAUAGACUUCAUGAUCCUUGAUGAGUCUUUAUUUUAAGUUUAUGACGGGUAAGUCUAGCUGAGUACCUUCUCGUACUCAGGGUUCUAUUCCCAUGUUGUUUUGCAGAUGGUCAAAUGUACUAUGGUUAUUGCAUCCUCUGUCUGUACCCAGCUAUGGGUGAUGACUAGACCAAGGGCGAUGGUCACUCCGUCUCUUCCUUUGCUUUUGUCGGAAUGACCGAACUAUGGCACUGUAUCAGACUUAUCGUGUGUGUUGUAAUUUCGAACUAUGAAGCUUCUGCUACUUGAAGAACUUGGUUUGUAAUAACUUAAGUACUCCGAUGUGUUUCAUGAAUGUUGUAAUCUGGAUGUACUUGUGGAUGGCGGCCGCUAAACUUAUUACGAUCUUGGCUGUAUGCGAUGUGUGGUUUGAAAUCCUUCGAGAUUUCACGGACUACCAGGAUUAUAUGGGCUUAAGCGUGAUGGUUUGACUAUGCAAAUGGUCACUAUUAGGCUUAAUCUCUUAUAAUUUGGUCGGUUCUGUUACAGAUUCCAGCGCUUGGGAACAACAAUCGCGCUGGAGGGCUUAGGGCAGGCCUGGCACCAGCAGGAGCAAGAAGAAAUGCAAGCUCGCCAAGAUCAGCUGCUGAAAUAGUCCCAAGACUUCUGGCGGUACAUGGGGUACAACCCCGAUCACUAGGCCAGAAGGUAGCUUGGGGGAGGACCCCCAAUCCCGAGGUUAUCUGCAUUGCAUAUUUAUUUUCAUGCAUCCUUAAUUUUAAAUUAGCAUGUUUACUUUAUGAAAUUUCCAUUAGUUAAAUUCAUGUUUUAAUUAUUGCAUAUAAAAAAAUGAAAAAUGCUAAAAAGAUAAAAAUAUAAUUCCACUCUUAUAUGUGAUGUAAGAUAUAUGCUUCUUCCUUGUUGAAAUGAUGAAUAGUUGCUCUAUCGUAAUUUCUUUCCGGUAUCUAGUUUCAACCUUGAAUUCACCAAAUUAAUAAAAUGAUUAAAUGCGUGGGUUGCAAAAUGCUCUAUCUAAAGUCUAAAGUAAUUAAUGGAUAUAUUUGUGAUGAUCUGAGCUGCUAGUAUCCUGUUCUAAACAACGCUAGAGUUCUGGAGUUUUUACAAAAAUAAAAUAAUCACAUUGAGUUAGAUUAAGCUUUGUUGACCCUUUGAGAGGUUGUCAUACCAUUGAAAAUAAAAAUAUUUCAUUAUGUUAUCAUCUCAAAAGUUUGUUAGAAGGCAUAUGGCUAUGAAAAAGAAAAAAAAGCAUCCGAGAAAAUAAAAAGGGACAUGUGUCCGAAACCUCAAAAAGAAAGAUCACGAGGAAAUAAAAAGGGAGAUGUGUCCGGAACCUCGAAAAUAAUAAUAAUAAAAAAAUAGGCAAGUGCCCAAUAGUAGAAUUAGCCACAUAGCCAUGUGUCUCUAAUAGACAAAAAGAGAAUGAUGGAAAAGAAAAAUUUUUAAAAAAUUCAAUGGUAUGAUUAACUUUCUCUUUGGAUCCAUUGUUUAAUUUGACAAAUAAAUGUGCUAAGUUUUUGAAAAUAAAAAAAAAACACCGGAACAAAAGUAAAGAACUGGGGACAUAGCGCUCGAUCUGAUCAAAUCCAUCCUGCAAAUGCUUAAGGACCCAAGGUAUGAGCAAUAAGCCCCAUGACAUAUCUGUUCAAAAUUCAAAGGAGAAUUCUUGUUUGAAGGUUUGUACUGGAUAGAAGUGAAAAUAUUGUAGCAACUCCUGAUCAACAACCAAGAUCUUAGCUUCUUGCUCGAGGACGAGCAAGGGGUAAGCUUGGGGGAGUUUAUUGGCAGUUCUUAAUGACAUAUUUACCCCGCCAACAUAGUCCAUGCAAAGGAAGAAAAGCAUGUAUUUUACUCACAUGUACUUAUUAAAUGCUUACCAAGUUCCACAUGUAGUGCAAGUUGUGUUUUGCAGAUCAUAUACAGGCAUACAGGUGGAAAGCAAAUAAAAAGGCGCAAUCCGACACGUCAAAAAAUGCGCAAAUAAACAAGUACCCAAAAGCCCAAUAUAGAAGUGCAUCAAUUUGCAGGUGGAUCUGGACUCAGGGGCCCAAGAGGAAGGCAACGGGCUUCGGGCCGGGGCCAGCGGGGCCCACCAGAGGGCGGCCGCCCCCUAGGGUCGGCCGACCCUGGCCCAGCCCAUCUCGGCACCGCCUUUUGUAGAGGCGGUGCUGAGCCUAUCCUCCCGUAGUCCCCGCGUGCAAAUUGCAGUUUACACCCUGGGGAACCGACCUUCCCCACCUAUUUAAGGAGGGGGAGAGGGAGGCUCCAUUCAUCUCAUCACAUUCACAAUCAACACUCCACCUUCAAGGCACUUGGGCACUACCUCUUCUUAGUUUUUCCUUUUAGCUUUUAGAGAGAGAGUUGGGUGAGCUAUCAAGGAGGGCUUGGCUCCUUGGAGAGAAACUUGGGUAUGAAUAAAGAAUAUCUUUACUCCAAGUCCAUGCCUUAUCAUGUCCGAUAAAGUUCUUCAUAUGAACUAGAGUAUAGUUCUUAUGCUAUGGUAUAUGACAUAGAUCAUAGGUCCUGUUUCAUGAUGCUAGCAUAUGAACUAGAAUAUAGUUCUAGUGAAAAUGAUAUGACAUACAUUUUAGUAUAUAGUUCUUAUAGUAUAAUGCUACCCUAGGGCUAGUAGUGUAUUAUAUGAACUAGUGCUAAGUGUAUGUUGUAUUAUUCUCACUUAGGACUUUAGUCUAAUUGCUUCAUGUUAAUUAAUUUCCUAGAAAUAGCUUUGUGUGAAGAUGGGGGUUUAUCAUGCUCUUUUGAGUAGGUUCGGGCUUCUUACCUGUCGAUCCGUAGGGUCGGGGACCCGGGGGAGUCCGAGUAGGUUCUUUGCAUGUAAGCAUGGUGCUUGGGUGUAAAGGCCGGGUAAAUGCAUUGUCCUAGUCCACGGUUGAGGGGAUGGCGGCAGGUGGUGACAGCCCUGUCAGUCCUUGGCAUUCCCCCACGUUCGGCUAGGGUGUAGGAGUCUAAAUAGUUGCGGAGGUUGCUGGCAGACCUGUACUCGCGUAACCUCCCAAACCAUCUAAACACAGGACUAGAUCUAAGUAGUAUAAUUACAUGAUUAACUUGUUCUAUGACAUGAUCUGUAUCUAGGACCGCACCUGCUCCAAUAGGUUGUUUGUUUAUUCUUUGAUUCAAUUCAUUCUUUUAGUCUCUUUUUAUUCCUUAGCCCAUAUGCCAUGCCUAGAUUGUGAUGGAUCACUAUUCUACAUAUAAAUGUUUAUCACCUGCUAUGACCUUUGAUUCCAUUAUUGCUAUCAUAAUUACUUUGAUCUAUGCUUAUCUUAGAAUCCUUAACAUAUUAAGCCUUCCUUAGAGCGAACCUAUAAAUACGACACUCGGUAAAUCCCCGGGUUGAAAUGCUACACGAAAAUUCCCGUCCGCUUGCGGUACUUAAACUCCAAACCUAAGGAACUAUCACCCCGGUAUAUACUUAACAUUGUUGCUAGACAUGCGCCGAGCUAGUGACUUGUUAAGGAAUACCAACAUGGCAAUCCUAGUGCCACUACCAUGAUUAAGAACUGGAACCCUACCCUAACGGUAAUAAGGCGCCGUUAUCGGGAAGGUAGAUCUAGCUUCCUAUUCAAGGUGGUGAUGCUACGGAUCUGCCAAUAUAACACUGCCAAUGUCAUUAUCAUGAGUAGAGCAGAACCCUAUUCUGGGUAGCGACGCUAAGAAACGCUAACAAGCAUUUCUAGCACGUUGCUUAGGAUAGAUUUAUACUCUAAUCUUGGUGAUUGCAUUAGUAAGUGUUAUCACGACAUUUCUGACAUCGUUGCUGAGGACGGAUUAAACCCUAUUCUUAGUGAUGACGUUAAGAAAUGCCAACAACCUCACCACCCGUCCUCACUGCACCUCAACCUAAUGAGGACCUGCUCCUUUACAUAGCAGCAACCAAUCGGGUUGUCUCCACGGCGAUGGUGGUUGAGCGGGACGAACCAGACCACGUCUACAAAGUCUAGAGGCCUGUUUACUUCAUAAGCGAAGUCCUAAACGAAUCCAAGACCAGGUAUCCUCAGAUACAAAAGCUAAUCUACACCAUCUUAAUCACCUCAAGGAAGCUGAAGCACUACUUCGACGACCAUCGGGUUUUAGUUACUACCAGUUUUCCUUUGGGGGACAUUUUGCGCAACAAGGACACAAACGGCAGAAUUGUAAAGUGGGUGAUGGAAUUAUGCCCAUUUUCUCUGGAUUUCUAGAGUCGCACUACCAACAAGUCCCAGGCCCUGGUCGACUUCAUCGCAGAAUGAACGGAUCUCAAUGAGCCCACCCCCUCCAGAUGCCUCCGACCACUGGUCAAUGUUCUUCGACGGAUCCUUGAACAUCAAUGGAGCCGGUGCCGGAAUACUUUUUGUUUCGCCAAACAAGGACAAACUCCGCUACGUCCUUAGGAUCCUCUUCCCGGCAUCCAACAACGUCACCGAAUACGAAGCAUGCUUGCAUGGCAUCCGAUUGGCUGUCGAACUGGGAGUUAAACGCCUUUAUGUCCACGGCGAUUCUGCCCUAGUCAUCAACCAGCUAAAUAAGGAGUGGGACACAACUCACGAGAAGAUGGACCUCUACUACAAAGAAAUCCGGAAGUGGGAAUCAAAUUUUUACGGCAUAGAAUACAUCCAUGUGGUCCGAGAAAAGAAUCAUGCAGCGGAUGCGCUGUCAACGAUAGGAUCAUCCCGGGCCUAGAUUCCCCAAGGCGUUUUCGUCCAGGACAUUCACACGCCAAGCGUCGGCACGGACCUGAUCGACAAGCCGUCUAACGAAACAAUGCUCAUAGACGACACCACUCCAACAACCACCAGCCACGACUGCGCACUCCUUUCAUCAAGUAUCUCUCGGACGGUUCGGGAUUUCAAGACAAAACGGAGAACGAACGCCUCAUCCGGCGAUCCAAAAAUUACAUACUGGUCAACGGCAAACUUAUGCGUAAGAAUACAGGUUCAGAAGUCUUGUUGAAAUGCAUAUCCCAAGACGAUGGCAUCAAUUUAUUGGAGGACAUACAUGCUGGAUCCUGCGGCAACCACGCCGCCUCUAGAACGCUGGUCAGAAAGGCUUUUCGAGGAGGUUUCUAUUGGCCAACUGCAGUCGUCGACGCCGAGAAACUGAUCCGGCAUUGUAAAGGAUGCCAGUUCUUUGCCAAGUGGACCUACGUACCUGCUCAUGAGAUCCAGACGAUUCCCUCAUCUUGGUCAUUUGCAUGUUGGGGUCUCGACAUGAUCGGGCCAUUCAAACCGGCCCCCGGCAACUUCAAAUUCGUGUUCGUGCUAAUCGACAAAUUCUCGAAGUGGAUCGAGUACGUGCCACUGGUCAAAGCAACUUCCGAGAAGGCUGUGGAGUUCCUCAAUCAAAUCAUACAUAGAUUCGGGGUUCCCAACAGCAUAAUCACUGACCUGGGCACUCAGUUCACCGGCACUACAUUCUGGGACUUCUGCGAUGAUAGAGGCAAUUCCCUUCUCUUCUACAAUUUGUUCUUAAGUGUAACCAGCAACUCACAAGAUGCUUCAAAGAUACACCAAACCCCUUUUAUUUUACUUAAUCUAUAUAUAACAAUUCAUAAUUUCUUUAUCCAUAUUUAGGCCUACCAAACUAGCAUGCAUUUUUGUUUAUCAAUAAAUUCCACAAAAAUUACAGUAGACUACCAGUCAAACAUAAAGUCUACCAUAAAUUUCCCAUAAUAUUUCGACACUUAUUUUGAGCUACAAAAAUCACAAGAUAAAUUCACAAAAGCAAGUAUAAAUACUCUACUCUAGUAUAAGUGUCAAACAGCAGAUUUCAUAUUUUUAUAAUUUGCUUAUUAUCCUAAGAAACACCCACAAAAAUUUCCAGAUUAAUUGCAUGAUCCAAUUAUUUAUUAAAAAUCAUAAACCACUGCCAUGCAAGCAUUUAAAUCACCAUAAAUUAAUUCACACAGCAAAUAAUGUGUAACAUAUUUUUCCUAGAGCCUAAUCUUCCAUGCAGAGCCAAUAAAACAAAUUUCAUAUUUUUCUGAGCUUUAUUUUAAUUACUAUGCAUUUUCCAAAUUCUGCAAAAACAUGGAUUAAAUAUGUUUGUAUAGAAAAGUUGUUCAAACAUGACAUGCAAACACACCAGGCUAUAGAUCUGAGAAUAAGGAACACACCAAAAUUUGUUUCACUAAUUUUGGAGCUAUACAACUCAAGAUAUGGAUUUUACAUCAUUUAAAUCAAUUUCUGGAAAACCUUUAUUUAAGAAAACCGACGGAAAACGUUAGAUUCACCCGGAUCCGCACCCGCAGAGACGCUGACAGGUGGGAUCCAGGGGUUGUGGCCCCACGGGUCAACCAUGCAGCACUCCGGCCAACUUCAGUCGGCCGGCUCUCGCCGACGGCGAGGUCUCCGGCCACGGGGUGAGCACCAGCAUGUUCCCCGCAGUGAGGCGCACCCAAGGGUGCCCUUGGAUCGGCCGGAGGGUGACCGGAGCACCCUCGACGAGCAUGCAUGGCGGCACGGCGGCGCUGCUCGCCGUGUCCAGGCCGCUCCGGUGCGGUAGAGCGCGCAUGAGUGCUCCUCCAAGCCUCCUCACCGAACUACGAACCUAACGCGCCCAAAAGCGAGCGAAAGGAGAUAGGGACUAGCGAGAUUCAACGCGGCAGAGCUCUCCGGCGAGGUCGGAGCAACUCCGGCGAGCGAUUCACGGCACACGACGGGCUCUCACCUCGGUAGAGCGUUCGCAGGGGCUUACCGCGGCGACGACGAGUGCGCUGGUGGUCUUGGCGUCGAGGUUGGGCACUGGCGUGGCCGGCGGUGAGCAGCGGAGCACUCCGGCGAUGGCGCUACGGCGGAGCUGCUACGGCUGCGACGCUCGCGAGCGAAAGAGGAAGAAGGAGAGAGGAGCGGGGCGACAGAGUGGAGCCUGGGGGCACGGGGCGGCCUUCCGACCAGGUUAUAGCCGGUCGGCCGCGGCGCGUCCAACGCCGGCGUAUGGCCGCCACGUGGCCGGCGUCGGGUGGAGCGAGGCGGCCGCCGCGCGCGGGAGAGAGAAGGGAGGGGAAGUGGACCACGCUGUCUGGCUGGGCCGAAAGGGAGGCGGGUCGGCCCAGCAGCGCCUGUCCCCUUUUUCUUUUUUUUUUGAAUUCCUUUUCUCCAAAAAGUUUAAAUGAGACUUUUGAGGCUUUUUCAAAUCUUUUUAUGGGUUGAGGUAAAAAUAAGAAUUGUUCCCCACAAAAUUCCCUACAACUUUGCUUUAAUAAGUGAAGCCAAAUUCCAAAUAGAAUUUGAAUCACAGGUUAAAACUAGUUCUAGGUUUUUAAAUAAAUUCAUUUUAGGGAUUUUUGUAUAAAUUCCAUUUCUCAAAUCCUAUGGCUCCAAAAAUAUCACAAAAUUACUCUUAAACCUUUUAACACACAAUUCAACCCAAUUUGAAUAUUUCACAAUUUUAGAAGCAAGCUUAAUAUUUUUAACCAUAUUUAAUUCACCUAAAUAAAGCACACAUAAAAUCACACUUGAAUUAUUAUUAUGCUCAUGGGAUGUGAUGCUUAUGCCAUGCUUGAUGAGAAUGCUUAUGAAUGUUUUAUGAGACUAAAUGCAUGCUUAAGACCUAGGGUGUUACAAGUGAUGUAUAGAGAAGACUGCAACCGUAGUCUCGUUCUAUGCCCUGGUAAGGAUGAUCUAGUGUUCUAUUGGGGAAGCUUACGGAAUCUAGACACCACAAAGGAUGUUCGACCCGCACCUAUAAACCUUCCCGUCCUGCUAACGAGAUGUGGGAUGCAAAGGUAACUCGGAAAUGUCACGUUCCUCGCUACUACCACGGUCCAGCUAGUCAGGGGAUAUCUAUGAGUACGCCAGCCUAAACACCACGUUUACGCUAGCAAUGAUUACUCUAAUACUCAACCGGAAGAGAUUAAAGUAAACUCAUAAACCAAAGAAUAAUAAAACAAGAACUUACUAGAAUUAGAAGUCGAAUUACUGAAUAAUCCUAGGAGCAAGCCUCGGGUUAGAAGACUUGAUCCCACAGGUACAACCUCGAAGUUGACACCAACAGGCCAGGCUUCCUCCCAUCUACACCUCCACUCUAUCUCUCUCAAUCUAGUAGAAACUAGAAGAUCUACUUGUACACACAUUGGAUGCUAAGCCUAAAAGAAAUUUUAUUUAGAGGAGAGGUAUUCCUUCGAGGGCUCCUCUCAACUCUAUGAUGAACUUGUCUCCUCCAGGGGCCUGGGGGUCUGGUUUUAUAGUCCCCUCAAGUGAACGUGGGCCAUUGGAUCAAACCGACAACGAUUGAACGGUUAUCCUUUAUCCUUUAGGUCGGUGGAGAUUGAUCCCGAAAGAGAGUCCUGAUCCAACUCUGUGAGGGGGCGGGCGCCCGGGUCAACUGGGCGGCCGCCCAGUGCCUGGCCCCGUUCGGCCUCCGCUUCCUUCCCGUGGGUUCUGGAGUCUUCUAGAUGUAAGAUAAUUGCGCGGCACGUUAAUAUCUCUAUGUAAACCCGAUGUGUGGGCCUUUCUUCCGUAUUUUCUGAUAACCCCCUACAGAAAUAGACAAACACCAAAACACAUGGAAUUCUGUCAGAUAAAACCCUAAGUCUAGGUUUUGGUUGCAUUUGGAUCCUUUUCUUUAUUUAUUUGAUGAUUAUAUUUGGUACUUAAGGACCGUCAACAACUCCCCCAAGCUUACCUCUUGCUCGUCCCUGAGCAAGGACGAACUCAAGAAUUUCUAUAGUGGUUUCAUUCCUUAAAAGUACACAUGCAUUCAAACAAGAUCUCAUGUAUGAGUUAGAAUAAACUGUUAAGACUUAAAACUUACUCAUUUUACCUUUCACCAUGGGGCUUGUAACCAUCACUUGUGUCUUGAGCAGUUAAAAGAUAGAACGGUCUAGUCAAGCGCCAUGUCUCGUAUUCUUGAUCAGCUAAAGCUCUGGAGUUUUUGCAUAUUUUCAUAUAAAACUCAGAGAUUCCCUAGAUGAUUCUCUCAAAUCUCUCUUUUGUGGUAUUUCUGGAUCCUUUCCAAGGCAGUAAUGGUAUAUGUCUUCUCUCAAAGUAUGUGGUAUUUUUGGUAUGAGGCAUAGUGAUAUUGCCUUCUCUCUCACCCUACUCUAAUAAGGUUUUUAUAUCUAGAGCUCAUAGGUGGGAGACAGCUAAUACAUACUUACAAGAUAUUUAUUGCAUAGUCAAACCAUGGAUCCAGAGAGACAAGUCAUUAAGUCAAAUUAAGAUGUGCAUGUGUGGCGAGUGAAUGGUGUAUGGUGAUGAUGGUGAUAACAAUGUUGAUAGUCUAAUUCUACUUUUGCUCUUUUUAGGGGAUACAUACCUUUCUUGCACUUUGAAGCUUCUCAAGGAGAAUGAGAUGCUCUAUAUUUUUUUCUCUUUUUCUCUCAGGUGGGUAUCUUGUACCCCUAAUUCUACUGUCGGACACUUGUCCAUUUUAACCUCUCGUCUCACUUUUUCUUUCCUUUCGAGGUUCCGGGCACUUGCCCCUUUUUAUUUCCUCGUAUUCUUUUUUUCUUUUCUUCUUCUUUUUUUUUCAGAGCACUCACCCUCCUAGAAUGUAGCAAGUGGUAGUAACCAAAAUAUCUGGAGCAUUUAUUUCACAGGGAAUAACAAGGAUAGGAAAAUAUUUUUGGCUAUUCUCUCCUAGAUUAGGAGUAGAAUAAUUUUGGGUGAAUCUGAAGAUAGAAAUGAGUGGAUAUAUGUGGAUGCGUACUUCCGAAGUAGAAGUAGCAUGUGUGAACGUGCAAGUGAAUCUUGAUUUUAACCACAUGACAAGCUCCUAAGGGUCUACACAGCUUGACCACACUCAACGCUCAUAAGCAGUAAAAAGUAAAUGUGUGGCUCAAAGUCUAAUAAGCAUGUAUAUAUGGCUGUGGUAGGAUUUUAAACUCUCAUCAUAUAGGAACUCAUCAUGUGUUAUUUUAAAUAUUUUUAAAGAUAAAAUUCUCUAGAAUUCUAGCAUCUCUAGGAACAGAUAAACAACAUCUCAACCUUCCCAUAUCAUAUCCGUUAACGACUUAGACUUUAGAUCAAGUACUCUUCCCACAAGUUCAGGUUUAGAGCAAAUCUUAAUUCAUAACAGUCAUGCCUAAACUUGAGAGAGAGCUCAAACUUGAAAACUAGGUAUAUGGCAGAGCAACUAUUUAUCAUAACCAUGUAAGAGUUUAUCAUUUAAGUUCAGUUUAGCCUAGACACUUUAUUUAUUUAAUUAUUUAGCAAACUAAGCAAAGAUAUCAGCAUAAUUUUUUUUACUUGAGUUUUCAUGAUUAUGCAUCUUUUUAUUAUUUGAGUAAAGUAUAAAUGCGAGUAGAAACACUUAGCUGGAUAAAUGGGGGUGCUCUCCCCUAAGCUGGAUUUUGACGUAAUUUCUUUUGAUGUAGCUAGCAGGUGACGGAGGUGUAUUUGAAUGUCGGCAGCACCCCGACAGCGAUUAGGAUGUCCUCCGUCUGCUAGUCUUCUUUGAUCCUUGAAUUCUCUUGGCAAGGCGUUCGGUGUUUUUAAGUCCUCCGAACGGGACUCUCCGUUUUCUCAGUCGUUCUGGGAUUCGCUAGAUGGCGUAGUCGGUGAUUCCGGUGGCGCCUCCUCUUCGUGUAUAACUAUCUUCUCUUUCCACAUCUGAGUCUGCGCUACGGUCUCCUCAGGACAGUUCUGUUCAAGCUGUAUGUCUUCAGACCUUACCACUUCUCCUUUAUAGUCUGCCCAUCCGUCCUUGAUGAUUUGCCUCCUCUGGUUGUGGUUGCGUCGUCUUCUUCUUGUCCUGAUCUGCUUAGAAUCUUCAUCUUCAACUAUAUAGUUAGAAUCAUUAAAGUAGUGGCAUACCUUCUUAGAGGGGAAGUGCAUGUGGACUUCUCCGGUUCCAAUAUAGAUGAUGACUUUGAUAGUGUAGAGGAACGGUCUUCCAAGGAUGGUGGGUGGAUCGUACUCGUCUUCUCCCAUGUCAAUGACCUGAAAAUCAUCUGGAGCUGAAUAUAUAUUGGUUGUAGGGGCAUGGUUCCAUGCAAGAGCUGAUAAGUGACUGCGGCCAUUAUGUUGUCGUCAGAUUCGGUGUCGUAGAGUGUCUUCUGAAAAGAGUAUCCAUUGAUUGUGCACACGAUGCUUGGAACACCAGGGUCGUCCUUCUAGAUCAGAAAACGCGACUUGAGUCGACGAUCUUGACCUCCUCCGACAAGGAUCCAAUGUUUUAAGUCUUCUGGACAAGACUUCUCACCGUCUCAUCCUUUAGGUGCAUCAUUUGAUUAGUUGUGGGCCAUGACGUCUGCACCUCUUAAUACAGUGUCACCCAUGUUCUUCGUUUGCCCAGCAGUUCGAAGUGCGGUGUUGGCAGUAUCCUGCUCAGUGUGUUUGUGCUCGUAGAUCCAGGUCCUUCACUUGGUGGAGUCUGGGAGUUGUAAAACUCCUCCAUGUUUUGCUUGAAGUGUACCUGUUCAUAGAGACAAGGCAGAGAUCAAGUGCAUGGGCCCUGUUGGUGGAAAACACCAAGAGAACCAAAAGUGUAUUUGUUCUUCUCUAACCUUAAGCAUAGUGAGCAAGACAAAGUUGAUAGGAUCAUGAGUGUAGUAUUUGAAACAUUUGUUAGAUCAGAUGGCUCAACCUAAUGGAAAGAUAAUCUAUCUAUAUUUAUGUUUUGUUUAUAUCUUCCAAAGAUUGAAUGUGCAACAUAUUAGCUUAUAUGAUUAGCAGUGUGGCAUCACGAAGGUAGUACUAAGAACAAAGAUUAAAGGACUAAACAUGUUGAAUUAAUUGGGUUGGUUAAUUUGGAGUUACAAAUCAUACAUGUUUGUCUCUUUAUUUAUGUGAACGCCAGAACCAAGGAGAAGCUUAUAAAAGUGAUAGUCAAGUACCUUAAGGUGUUACCUUACUUGAAGAGUGAUGGUAUAGUAUCACCUUGUGGAAGCAUUCCUUUCUUAGCGGUUGUGCAUCGUGUUUGUGGCACCCUCCAUGGAUCAUCUCUUUAUAAUGAAUGAGCUAUGUCCUUCUUGUACAAGUCGUUAAAUUUCAUAUGUCUCCUUUAUCUCCAAUGUGAGUUUGUAUCUCAGGACUUCCUAGGUUGAUAUUGAAAGUUUUCCUGCAGGGGUUAGUCCGACAAAAUAUACCAAUGCCUACUCAAGCAAUUUUUAGUUCAGUAUCCAAACUAGACUCCAUGUCUAAUCAGAUUAAGGAAGGCUAUUUAACACAAGCACCACGCUUAAUUUAAAUGCCAAUGGAAGUAUGUCCAGUACUUCCAAACUAACAUUUACUAGGAUAAACAAAGGUAGCAUGAUGGCUUUUAUAGAGAUCUACUCAAGUGGAGAAGUAGUGUGACUAGUAUUUAACAAAUUGAGCAUGUCUCAAAGGUGGGGAUAACCAACAUAGCAACAUGGCAAAAGAUGUUUUUAUGUAAAGUACUCCCCCAAGCUUGAAUUUUGCAAAAUUCAAGAUUGGAUGAAAUUAAUUCAAUGUUGCAUGAUGAUUGGUUGGGCAUACCUUGCGCUUGUCAUUCCUCGGAUCUUCUUGAUCCAAUCCUGGAAAGGUUAGUGACAAGAAUACCCGAAGGAAUAUUUUUACAAUUAUCCCUAUAUGCUCAAUACACAGGGCAAUGUUGCAAAUAAUUAGAAGUUCAUGUUAUGAUCUGAUAGGUGCUUGUUUUAGGACACUAAGCUUGUCCUUGGGAAACCUUCAAUCAACUCAACGAGAUCUACAAUAUUUAUUAUAGACAUAUGCAUCGACAACCACCCUUUUAAAAUUUUUAUAAAUAGACAAGAAGAGGGGGUUGGAGAUCUCAAAUGUGGUAAUAGCACAUGGAUUUUUAAUGCCCUCUAGCCAUUGAUGUUGCUCUUCUCGAUCCUCCUUUUUAUGCACGGGAUGUCUAGAGAGAUUCAUAGGAUUAUUGGGAGGUUCAAGAGAAAGAGCAUAAUGGAGAUUAUUAAGCUCAAGGAUGCGUUGGAUAGCCGAAUUAUGGGAUUGAAAUGUUUGGAAAUUGGCUAUUGACACUUCCUUUCCUUGUAUGGGAGAUGAUUCCUUCUCUAUCUCUAAGAUUUUUCUAUGAAGACUAGUACAAGAAGGAUGUCCACGAAUGAAGACAUACCUUGCUUUACUAACAGAUAAAGAAAGAAAAACUCUACCAAAGGUUAUAUGAUUAAGACCAAUGUGAAAAUAUCGAGAAAAAAUAUGGUCUUGUAUGGCUAGGUCUAAACCAGAAUUUAUAGAAAGAUUAACAGAUUCCCUAGGUGUAGCUAAAAGUGCAUUAUCUUCUUGAUUAAAAGAUAGGACCUCGGCUAUAGAAAAAGGUUGGUUUUGACCUAUUGCAAUCAACUCCGGACACAGAUCAUAAUUAGGGGCAGGACUUGUUGACUCCCAUGCUCUAUGGCUGGUCUCCGAAGGUGCAAAGAAUUCAAUAAUAGGUAUGGAAUUUGAGUUAUCCAUAAAGAUGGAAAAAAUAAAAAGAUAAAAGAAUAAAAGUAUAAAAGUAUAAUACAAGAUAAUAGCAAGACUUAAAGUUAUCUCAGCAAACCGUCUUUCUCCCCGGCAACGGCGCCAGAAAUGCUUGUUGAUAUUUGGUAACGCAAUCAGGAAAUGAACCGCAAGCGCACGGAUAUCGGUGAGCAUUUCACCCGGGAGGUUAUCCAGAGUAUCGUAUUUAUAUUUUUUCCACUGGGAGAAAGGGUGCAUCUGACUAACCAAAUCUAUUGCUACUAUCCCUUUAGGCUACAAAGAAUGUUUCUCGAUGUGAGCGAUGUAUAGAGAAGACUGCAACCGUAGUCUCGUUCUAUGCCUUGGUAAGGAUGAUCUACUGUUCUAUUGGGGAAGCUUACGGAAUCUAGACACCACAAAAGAUGUUCGACCCACACCUAUAAACCUACCCAUCCUGCUAACGAGAUGUGGGAUGCAAAGGUAACUCAGAAAUGUCACGUUCCUCGCUACUACCACGGUCCAGCUAGUCAGGGGAUAUCUAUGAGUACGCUAGCCUAAACACCACGUUUACGAUAGCAAUGAUUACUCUAAUACUCAACCGGAAGAGAUUAAUGUAAACUCAUAAACCAAAGAACAAUAAAACAAGAACUUACUAAAAUUAGAAGUCGAAUUACUGAAGAAUCCUAGGAACAAGCUGUUGACGGUUCUUAAGUAUCAAUUUUAAUUAUCAAAUAAACAAGAGAAAGGACCAAUAUGCAACCAUCACCUAGAAUUAGGGUUUGAUCUGACAGAAUUCCACGAGUUUUGUUGUUUAUCUAUUUCUGCAGGGGGUUAUCAGGAAAUAAGGUAGAAAGGCCCACAUGUCGGGAUUACAUAGAGAUAUCAACGCACCGCGCAAUUUUACAUCAUCUAGAAGACUCCAGAAGCCACGAGACCGAAGCGGAGGCCAAACUGGCCAGGCCCAGGGCGCCCGCCCUGGUAGCCUGGGCGCCCGCCCCCCUACUGGAGCCAAAUCAGGACUCCUUCGCUCGGGAUAUUCCACCGACCUAUUGGAUCAAGAAAAACAUAGUACCACCUAGGCUAUUGACCCAAAAACGCAUAGAAGGGGAGGACUAUAUAAGCAAGGCCCCCCUGGCCCCUGGAGAAGACAUGAAGAAAUUAUCAUAGAGACUGAGGGGUGCCCUCGAAGGAAAACCUCUUCUCUAAUUAAUAUUUCUUUUUAGGCUUAGCAAUCAAUGUAAGGUAGAAAUAGAUCUUCUAGUUUCUACUAGAUUGAGAGAGAUAGAGUGGAGGUGUUGAUUGGAGGAAGCCCGGCUUGUCGGUGUCUACUCCAAGCUUGUACCUGCGGGAUCAAGUUCUCCUAACCCGAAGCUUGCUCCUAGGAUUCUUCAGUAAUUCGACUUCUAAAUUCUAGUAAGUUCUUGUUUUAUUGUUCUUAUGGUUUAUGAGUUUACUUUAAUCUCUUCGCGUAGAGUUUAGAGUCAUCAUUGCUGGCGUAAACGUGGUGUUUAGGCUGGGGUACUCUUAGAUAUUCCCUGACUAGCUGGACCGUGGUAGUAGUGAGGAACGUGACAUUUCCGAGCUACCUUUGUAGAUCACAUCUCGUUAGCAGGAAGGAUAGGGUUUAUAGGUGCGGGUCGAACAUCCUUUGUGGUGUCUAGAUUCCGUUAGCCUCCCCAUUAGAACAGUAGAUCAUCCUUACCAAGGUUAGAAGGAGACUACGGUUGCAGUCUUCUCUAUUUAUCACUCACAUCGAAAUACAUUCUUUGUGCCUAAAGGGAUAGUAGCAAUAGACCGGUUAGUCAGAUGCACCCUUUCUCCCAGUGGUAAAAAUAUAAAUACGAUACUCUGGAAAACCUCCCGGGUGAAAUGCUCACCGAUAUCCGUGCGCUUGCGGAUCGUUUCCUUAUUGCGUUACCAAAUAUCAACAAGCAUUUCUGGCGCCGUUGCCGGGGAGAAAGACGGUUUGCUGAGAUAACUUUGAGUCUUGCUAUUAUCUUGUAUUAUACUUUUAUACUUUUAUUCUUUUAUCUUUUUAUCUUUAUGGAUAUCUCAAAUUCCAUAACUAUUAUUAAAUUAUUUGCACCUUCGGAGACCAGCCAUAGACCAUGGGAGUCAACACGUCCUGCCCCUAAUUAUGAUCUGUGUCCGGAGUUGAUUGCAAUAGGUCACAACCAACCCUUUUCUAUAGCCGAGGUCCUAUCUUUUAAUCAAGAAGAUAAUGCACUUUUAGCUACACCUAGGGAAUCUGUUAAUCUUUCUAUAAAUUCUGGUUUAGACCUAGCCUUGCAAGACCAUGUUUUUCCUAGAUAUUUUCACAUUGGUCUUAAUCAUAUAACCUUUGGUAGAGUCCUUCUUUCUUUAUCAGUUAGUAACGGAAGGUAUGUCUUCAUUCGUGGACAUCCUUCUUGUACUAGUCUUCAUAGAAAAAUCAUAGAGAUAGAGAAGGAAUCAUCUCCCAUACAAGGAGAGGAAGUUUCAAUAGCCGAUUUCCAAACUUUCCAAUCCCAUGAUUCGGCUAUCCAACCCAUCCUUGAGCCUAAUAAUCUCUACUAUGCUCUUUCUCUCGAACCUCCCGAUAAUCCUAUGAAUCUCUCUAGACAUCCCAUGCAUAAGAAGGAGGAUCGAGGAGAGCAACAUCAAUGGCUAGAGGGCAUUAAAAAUUCAUGUGCUAUCACCACAUUUGAGAUCUCCAACCCUCUCUUCUUUUCAUUUAUAAAAACUUUAAAAGGGCGGUUGUCGAUGCAUAUGUCUAUAAUAAAUAUUGCAGAUCUCGUUGAGUUGAUCUUGAUAUAGGUAGGUGUUGGAGGGGAAACCACUUCACCAACAUAACUUGAUGGUUUCCCAAGGACAAGCUUAGUGUCCGAAAACAAACACUUAUCAGAUCAUAACAUGAACUUCUAAUUAUUUGCAACAUUGCCUUGUGUAUUGAGCAUAUAAAGAUAAUUGUAGAAAUAUUCCUUCGGGUAUUCUUGUCACUAACCUCUCUAGGAUUGGAGCAAGAAGAUCGGAUGAAUGACAAGCACAGGGUAUGUCCAACCAACCAUCACACAACAUUGAAUGAAAUUCAUCCAAACUUGAAUUUUGUAAAAUUCAAGCUUGGGGGAGUACUUUACAUAAAAACAUCUUUUGCCAUGUUGCUACGUUGGUUGUCCUUACCUUUGAGACAUGCUCAAUUUGUUAAAUACUAAUUACACUACUUCAUCUCCACUUAAGUAGAUCUCUAUAAAUGCUCUCAUGCUACCUUUAUUUGCUUUAGUAUAUGUCUAGGUUUGGAAUAGUUUCAUUUAUCUCUUAAUUAAGCAUGGUGCUUAGUUUAGGAAUGAUGAUCUUACUUCCAAGGGAUUUUAAAUUAAGCAUGGUGCUUAGGUUAAAAUGUCCUUCUAAAUCAAAUUAGACAUGGUGUCUAGGUUGAUUUUUAAGCCGAUAGUAUGCUAUAGUAGAUAUGGGAUAUUUUGUUGGACUAACCCCUGCAGGAAAACUUUCAAUAUCAACCUGGGAAGUCCUGAGAUAAACUCGCAUUGGAGAUGAAGAAAGUGACACAUGAAGUUUAACAAUUUGCACAAGAAAGACGUGGCUCAUAAGAGAUGAUCCAUGGAGGGAGCCACAAACACGAUGCACAACCGCUAGAAAGGAAAGCUUCUACAAGGUGAUACUGUACCAUCACUCUUCAAAGGUAACAUCUUAAGGUACUUGACUAUCCUUUUAUAAGUUUCUCCUUGGUUCUGGCGUUCACAUAAAUAAAGAGACAAACAUGUAUGAUUUAUAACUCUAAAUUAACCAACCUAACUGAUUCAACAUGUUUAGUCCCUUAAUCUUUGUUCUUAGUACUACCUUCGUAAUCCCACGCUCCUAAACAUAUAAGCUAAUAUGUUGCACAUUCAAUCUUUGGAAGAUAAAAACAAAACAUAAAUAUAGAUAGAUUAUCUUUCCAUUAGGUUGAGCCAUCUGAUCUAACAAAUGUUUUAAAUGCUACACUCAUGAUCCAUCAACUUUGUCUUGCUCACUAUGCUUAAGGUUAGAAAAGAACAAAUACACUUUUGGUUCUGUUGGUGUUUUCCACCAACAGAGCCCAUGCACUUGAUCUCUGCCUUGUCUCUAUGAGCAGGACACAUUUUGAGAAACAUGAAGGCGUUUUACAACUCCCAGAUUCCAUUAAGUGAAGAACCGGGAUCUACGAGCACAAACACAAUGGAGAUCGGACACUUAGUUUCCCAAAGGAAAUAUUAAAGAACCUCUGUGUCCAAGUUGGUACCUUGUACGCUCCAACAAACUUCGUGGUGGUAGAGACUGGUACUGAGGAGAGGGCACCCAUCAUCUUAGGGAGGCCAUUCCUAAACACCAGAGCUGUCAUCUACGCUAAUGAUGCCAAGAUUAGUCUCUACAUCAAGGGGAAGAAGGAGACUUUCCUUCAAGAACAAGACUACAUAAACUUCAGAGCAAUCCCAACAUGAACCAAGGAAGAGGUCCAACAGGAGGAACAGGAACAAGCAAAUGUGGACCGAGUCAGCUAAGAUGGUCACUGCAGCUCAAGGAGGUCAAGAUCGUCGACUCAAGUCACCUUUCUUGAUCAAGAAGGACGACCCUGGUGUUCCAAUCAUCGAGUGCACAACCAAUAGAUACUCUUUUUAGAAAACACUCUACGACACCGGAUCUAACGUCAACAUAAUGGCUGCAGUCACUUAUCAGCUCCUGCAUGGAACCAUGUUCCUACAACCAAUAUAUAUUUAGCUCCAGAUGAUUUUCAGAACAUUGAUAUGGGAGAAGACGAGUACGAUCCACCCAUCAUCCUUGGAAGACCAUUCCUCAAAACUAUCCAAGUUAUCAUCUACAUUGGAACCGGAGAAGUCCACGUGUAUUUCCCCUCUGAGAAGGUACGCCAUUACUUUAAUGAUUCUAACUAUAUAGUUGAAGAUUCUAAGCAGGUCAGGACAAGAAGCGGUCCAGCUACAGUAGCGGGUCUGGGUGCGCAGCCAGGAGGUGAGUCUCUCCGCUUCACGGACCCGGUCCAGGGCUCGACUCCUUUGCAGUCGCUGUUCUCUGGGCCAUGGCCGUCGUCUGUAGACUACGAGUCUGGGGAUAAGGCUGGCAUAUCCACGUUUCUCCCUCAUUCACCCCAGUCCUCAUCUACCUCUCCCUCAAUCGCAUCCUUAGAGGGCGGAAACCCUAGAGGUCCUGCUUGUUUUGCGGAGGCGGGUGGUGUGCAGAGGAAGGUGCAGCUUCCACACGAGGUAUGUGACCAUCCUGAUGCUGAUUUGAGUUCUCGUCUAGUUCACUUAUGGAGCCAUAGUAUUAAGGUGGGGGGAUGUGGUGUGAUUGAAGUGAAGGAUCCAUCGAUUGCUGUGCCCCUUGGUAGUGCGACAUCGGUGAGAUCAUACUGGUCGACUAUUGGGGGUGAUACUCGUUCGUUUUCGCAGGUUAUCCAGGCUCCUCUGCAGCCUAGGAGAAAUAUGGAUCCGCGUCAACAGUAUCCAAAUCGCCCCUAUGCUGGAUCUGCUUUCAAUCGGGGCGGAUUUCGUCCUCGCUGGCAGAAUCAGGGGAGGGGUUGGUUUCCAAGGGGGAGAGACAGAGGUGGAGGUCGUUUCCAGGGAGGAGGUGGAUGUGGUUUUGGUAAUAGAAAUGCAGGAAUUCAGCAGUUUGAUAGGAACAAUGAUCAGAGACCUACAGAGGGAAAUGAGGGGUCUGAACAUACUAAAAACAUUGGGAUUGAUGAAACUGAAACUUCUGUGAAUGAUUCGUCUCAGAAAAUGGCAAGUGGGAGUCAGGCUACUCAAGAGGGUGAGAAUGGGGAUCAGGAUGUUCCUACUGAACAACCUAAUAAUCUCCCUGUUUGUAACAGGUGUGGUAGAGUUGGACAUCUAGAUAGUGAGUGCCUUAAUCCUGUAGUGUGUUCCAGAUGUCACAAGGAGGGUCACGUGGCAAGAGUUUGCUCUGCUAAAAUGCCCUGGGAGUUUAUCUCUCCUUUCUGUGGUUUAUCCGCUUAUGGGCAGGGGUUUCAUGUGAUUGAGAGUACAAAUGCUGAUGAAGGGAUCAAGGAUAUGUCUACUACUGCUUUGGUUACUGUGACUAGUGGUGAAGCUACAGCCCGGGAUAUUGAAAAUGAAUUCAGAUUGAAAGCUGGUUCAAACUCAACAUGGAGGUGGUAUGCUAAGAAAGUAGGGGAAGGUAGAUACCAAAUGAGAUUUCCUAAUGCUCAGACUAUAGAGGAUUUAGCUUAUUUUACUGAGAUGAGACUGAGGUCAAAACCUGAUGUGGUAAUCAAAAUUGAGAAAUGGAAUCCUGCUACUGGCUCAAAGGGAGCCCUUGAUGUAGCAUGGUUCAGGAUAACUAAUAUUCCCCCUGAGAAAAGAUCCUUCUCCAAUGUCUGCAUGGUGGCAUCUAAGGUGGGUCUGCCCUUGGAAGUGGACAGGGAUAGUCUGAAAAAAAAUGAUUAUGUCAGGGUAAAAAUUGGAUGCAGAGACGUUUCUAAAGUGCCUGCUUCGGUGGAUGGAUUACUGGACUUCAAUUUCUAUGAUUAUUUCUUUCAGAGAGAAGUUCCCCAGGAAGGUUUCACCAACCCUGCUGGCACACAGUGGAUCAGACAAGAUAGGGAUCAGGCCAAAGAUGGAAUCCCCUCUCCAAAGAAACAGAAAUUGGCUAAUGAUAAAGUUGGUGGUCACCAUUUGGAAGCUGGUACUAGCAAUAAAGGCAGUGAUGGAAAAGGUAGACAAAAAACUGGUGACUGCACUCACCAACAAGAGAAACAACAGCAUCUCUCUGAUGACACAGAAGAAAGUGAGGAUGAUGGUCUCAAAAUUGGUGAUCUAAUUGUGCCUGGUUCGGAGCAACUCAGAUUUGGUAACUUUGACCCGGUGGAGAUAAGGAAAGUCAGUUGUAUUACCAUUAAUAUGAAUCCUCAGACUGUGAUAAAUGAGUAUGGCUCUAACAUGAUGUUGAACAAGUAUGAUCCUCUCAAAACCUUCGAAGUGAAGAGUGCUCUGUAUGAUUGCAGCAAGGAGAAUUUCUUUCAGGUUGAGGAUACGAUGUAUAAGUGUCCUAGUAAAAGUUUGCAGACUAUUCUGGAAGAUAAAGAGGUGGUGAACUGUGUGGAACGUGCUGUCUCCAUAAGCCCUGUUAAAGGAAGCCAAGGUGCUCCAAUGAUGGAUCUCUCUAGCCAGGAAGAUUUGCUUCAAAAAGAAAGCAGUGAUAUUGACUGGGAGCUCAUAGAAGAAGAGGAUGGUCAAAAAUCUGAAGUUGCUGAUAUGGAUAUCAGUUUAUCUCAGCAAAAGGAAACAAUAUUUGUGGAAGAUUCUCAGAAAGUGCAGAGUGUUGAGGAUAGCAUAGUGGAGAUAACUCACAAGAAAUCGGAAAUGUAUGAUAUGACAGCUAAAAACCUAAAUCCCUGGGAAAAUCAUGGUGCUGAUAUAAGGGCUGUGGUGGAAGACAUUCAGAAGGAAAGCCAGGAUGAAUGGCCAGCGUGGCAGCAAGUGAGACAAAGCAAACGGCUAAGGGAGUCUGGAACCUCUCAGUUGAGGAUGGAUGGCAUCGUCAAGGAAACUACAACUGAGGAUUUGCAUAGUGAAGGUAUUACUUCUACUGAUCAGAACUCCUUUGCAGUUCUUUCUGAUAUUCAGAUUGUUUCUUUAGCAUCUCAAAUGGGGAUCAACUCUGAAUCCCUUAAUUUCGAGAAAAUUGAUGUGCUUAAGGACCUAGAGAAUGCUAGAAUGAAACUUAUUGAACAAAAUAGUAGUUUGCUAGAACAGGAAAAUAUUAUAGUGGAUGAAAAUUUUCCCCUAGAAGAUCAGGUGGUUUUGGAGUGGGGAUCAGAGGAAUCUGAUAAGGAAUCCUGUGUAAUUCCUGUUAGCUCAAGAAAAAGCAAGUCGGCUAAGAAAAAAAAGAGAAAAACCAGAGCAGUGAAGGCUCAUCCUGUUGAUGAUCCUACUGAAUCUGGGGGAGAUAAAUCUAUGGCUAGCCCUAGAUUUAAUCUCAGAGAUAGAAAAACUAUCAAGAAAGUCUAUAAAUGAUAGGCAUCAUAUGGAACUGUAGAGGGGUGGAGAAAAAAGGUCUCAGUUCGUUUAUCAAGGAGUUAAUUUGGGAUCAUAGGGCUGACUUUAUUGGUAUUCAAGAAACUAUGAAAAAGAACUACUCUGACAAGUUUUUUAGAAAGAUUGAUAAUGCCAAAGAAUUCAGUUGGUACUGGAUUCCUUCCAAUGGCAAAUCUGGAGGGUUGUUAAGUGGUAUUAGAAAUGAUAGAUUUGAUGUGGAGAGUUUUGAUAGUGGUGAGUUUAUGAUUACUGCUAAUGUGUUUGACAAAAACCUAAAGAAACACCUUUCUUUGGUGAACGUUUAUGGUCCGGCUCAGGAUGUUCUUAAGGACAGCUUCCUUGCUGAACUGUCAAACUUUUGUAUCAAAGCCAAGUACCCAGUUCUUGUGGGUGGCGAUUUUAAUAUUCUGCGAUUUAGCAGUGAAAAAAACAAAAAAUUCAGUGAAAAUAAUUUCUCCGAUGUUUUCAAUUUGAUCAUUAACUCCUACGAACUAAGAGAGUUACCUCUUGCUGGAGGCAAGUUCACUUGGAGUAAUAAUAGAUCUAACCCUACCCUUGAAAAGCUUGAUAGAGUGUUAAUCUCUAGUUCUUGGGAAGUGGAAUUUCCUCUCUGUAAUCUCCGGAAGAUUCCUAGGUAUAUGUCAGAUCAUAAUCCUUUGAUUGUGCGUACUGAUUUACACCAGCAGAUAGGAUCUAGACCUUUCUGCUUCGAAAAUUCCUGGCUGCAACAUGCUGAUUUUACUAGAAAAAUUAAAGAAAUUUGGGAAAGGAGUGUUAAAGCUAAAUCAGCAAUUGAUUCCUGGAAUAUCAAAAUGGACAGGGUCAAAAAGUUUCUCAAAGGCUGGGGACAAAAUUUGAAAGGGCACACCAGAAAAUACAAAAGAAUCCUUCGUGAAGAACUUAUGAUUUUGGAGAAAAUUGAGGAAAAUGAAAUGUUGUCUUCUGAUAAAUUAGACAGAAAAACUUUCAUUCAAACUGAGCUUCUUAGGCUCCUUGAAGAAGAAGAGAGUUAUUGGCAUAAGAGAUCCAAUAGUAUGUGGCUUUUAAAAGGUGAUAAUAACAUAGUUUUUUUUCAUCGUAUGGCGAAUGGGAAAAAAAGGAAGAACACUAUCUUUUCCCUGAAUGAUAAGGACCAGGUCAUUGAGGGGGAUGAUGCCCUGGUGGCUCAUGCUACCUGCUUUUACAAAGAGUUGUUUGGACCUUCUAAGCCUUCUGGCAUCCGUAUGGAGCCUAGCUGUUGGGAUGAGUCCGAAAGGGUUUCUGAACAUGAUAAUAGUGAAUUGAGUAAGCAGUUCUCUGAAACUGAAAUUAAGGAGGCAAUUUUUUCAAUGGAGAAAAACACAGCACCUGGGCCAGACCAUUUUCCUGUGGAGUUUUAUCAGCAAUGUUGGGAAAUAAUUAAAGAUGAUUUGAUGGCCCUUUUUUCUGAUUUCUAUAAACUAGAAUUGGAUAUUGGCAGAUUCAAUUAUGGUGUCAUCACUCUCUUGCCCAAAGUGAAGGAUGCUAAUAACAUUAAGCAGUACAUACCAAUCUGCUUACUGAAUGUAAGCUACAAAAUUUUCACUAAAACCUUGAUGCUCAGAUUAGAAAAGGUGAUGGGGAAAAUAAUUAAUAGGAGCCAAUCUGGUUUUUUGAAAGACAGAAAUAUUAUGGAUGGUGUCUUAGCUUUACACGAGAUUCUUCAUGACACCAGGAUUAAAAAGAAAGAUGGGUUAGUCCUUAAAUUGGAUUUUGAAAAAGCUUAUGACAAGCUGAAUUGGGAGUUCCUUUUUGAUUGUCUUAGACAAAGAGGGUUCUGCGAUAAGUGGUGUGAUUGGAUUAAACUAGUAAUGGUGACUGGUACAGUUAGUGUCAAAGUUAAUAACACUACUGGUGGAUAUUUUACUUCUGGUAGAGGUGUCAGACAAGGUGAUCCUCUGUCACCUUUUCUGUUUAAUAUUGCGGCUGACUCUCUAGCUAAGAUGAUUACUCUUGCUCAAAGAAACAAUCUGAUUACUGGCUUAGUUCCUAAUUAUAUUGAGCAUGGGGUUGCUAUUUUGCAAUACGCGGACGACACCAUAUUGUGCUUGCAGGACAACAAGGAACAAGCAACUCAUUUGAAGCUUCUUUUAUACCUCUAUGAGUCCAUGUCGGGCCUCAAGAUUAAUUUUUCCAAAAGUGAAGUAAUCAUGAUAAGUCAGGAUGAUUCCAAGAGUGUUGAAUUCUCUAAUAUGUUCAAUUGUGCUAUCGGUAAGUGGCCCAUGAAAUACCUUGGAGUCCCUGUUGCUGGCUCUAGGCUUCAUGUGGCUGACUGGCUACCUAUUAUUGAAAAACUUAUGAAGAGAUUGGAUGGUUGGAAGGGAAGUGUGCUGAGUCUUGGGGGCAGGUUGACUCUUAUUAAUUCCUGCUUGAGCAAUCUUCCUGUGUAUGUAAUGUCGAUGUAUUGGUUGCCUGUGUCAACCAUUGACAAAAUGGAUUCUGUCAGAAAAAGAUUUUUCUGGCAAGGAGGAAACCUAAAAAAGAAGUAUCAUCUUGUGAAGUGGACCAAAAUUUCAAAGCCUAAAGAUAAGGGAGGGUUAGGCAUUAAGAACUUAAGAAGAAUGAAUAUAAGCCUUCUGUGUAAAUGGUGGUGGAAGGUGGAGAAUGGAGAGGGUAUCUGGCAAGACAUCAUCAGGAAGAAAUACUUAAAAAAUGGAAGUUUGCAUAUCCUGAGGAAAAAUCAUAAAAAUUCUGCGGUUUGGAAUGAUUUACUUAGAGUGAAAGCUUUAUACCUGAAAGGCAGAUCUAUGAUUAUUGGGAAUGGUAAGAAUACCAGUUUUUGGCAUGAUCGCUGGUGUGGACUUGUCUCCUUAGCAGACAAGUUCCCUCGUCUUUUUGAAAUUAGCGAAGAUCAAGAUUGCACAGUGGAAAAUAUGAAGAAUAGGAGAUGGAAACUUAAGUUUAGGAGAUGGUUGCACGAAGACCUUCAAAGUCAGUUGGGCAGACUCCAGGAUAUUGUCUAUCGUUGUUGUACUAAUGGCGACAAAGAUAGAGCGGUGUGGGAUUGGGAGAAAUCUGGGGUUUUCUCUGUCAAAUCUACCUACAAUCAUUUGUGCAAGAAUGAUUAUGGUAUGAAUAAUAACAAAAUUUGGAAAGCUAAGCUCCCUAUCAAAAUCAAAAUUUUUCUUUGGCUAGUAUGUCAAAAUGCAAUUCUGACUAAAGAUAACUUGUGGAAACGGAAAUGGAAAGGGAACAAAUCUUGUGCUUUUUGUUCUGAGGAUGAGACUGUUCAGCAUAUCUUUUUUGGGUGCCUGAUGGCAAAAUAUGUGUGGAGUAUUUUAGCUUUCUCUCUGGGGGCUGAUUGUAGACCCUCUAACAUUGAUCAAUAUUGGAUUUGGGUCAAUAAGAUUUUGCCUUAUAGCCAAAAGAUGCAUGCUGUGGGGCUUGCUGCCAUUUGUUGGGCGCUUUGGCGUUCGCGUAACGCUGCUUGCUUUGAAAAGAAACAUAUCAAAUCUCCUACUGAGAUUGUGUGCAUGAUCUGUUCUUUUCUGACAUAUUGGGCAGGGCUGCUGAAGGAAGAUAUGCAGGCUCAGGUUAUCCAAGGCGCGGCUGUGGUGAAGUCAGCGGCUUUGUUUUUCCACAGUCAAGGCGUUCAGAUGGGUGCAGGACAUCAGAUGGUGCCUUAUGAUGGUUGAUUCCCAAAAGCGUUGACAUCCCUGAAGACUUUCUAGAGUUUGCUGUUUUUGAGCUCUAGUUAUAUGUCUAGACUUAGUCUAGCCGUUCAAGAACCUCUUUCGUGUGGUCUGUACUGCAACUUUUCGUUGCUGGCGUGUUAUCCUGUACUUUGGCUUGGUGCCCUUGGUGUACCUAGGCCUUAGUACCGCUUUAUUUCUUGUGUGUCGGUACUUUGUUUUGGUUUGGCUGAACUUGGUUGUAAGACCUUUGUAAUUUCGUUGCUGCGGUAAUGAAAUUCGGUUUUUACCGGUGUGGAAAAAAGGUCAGGACAAGAAGAAGACGACGCAACCGCAACCAGAGGAGGCAAAUCAUCAAGGACAGAUGGGCAGACUACGAAGGAAAAGUUGUAAGGUCAGAAGACGUUAAGUUUAAACAGAAUUAUCCAGAGGAGACCGAAGCACCAAGUUCUGGUGUGGAAAAUGAAGAUAACUAUACAUGAAGAGGAGGCGCUGUCGGAAGUACCGACUACGUCACCCAACGAACCUCAGAAUAAUUGAGAAGGAGGAGAGUCCCGUUCGGAGGACUUAAAAACACCGAACGUCUUGCCAAGAGGUAAACUUGGUAGUUAUCCUUUCCCUUUUAAUUAUUUCAAGUAGUUCACUUAGUUAAUUAAGUUCUAAACAGAAAGUAAAAAUAUGAAAAACAGUAAGCCCCAUGUGAGGAUACUGGCAUAAAACCCAUAAGUACAUUCACUGUGGUGGCAUAAAAAUAAAAUAAAAAUAUUUUUCUGCUUUAUAAAAUAAAAAUAUAAAAACAGGGAGUAAUAAUUAUUAAGGAGUCUCAACAUGAUAAAGGCUAGAUAAUUAUGCUAACACUUAAUUAGUUCCACAAGCUUUGUUGUCUAUUUGAGCUCCACAGAAUCUAAGAAUUAAGAAGACUGGUAGACGGAGGAUAUUCUAAUCGCUGUCACAAUGCUGCUGACUUUCAAAUACACCUCUGCCACUUGCUAGCUACAUCAAGAGAAAUUACGUCAAAAUUCAGCUUGGGGGAGAGCACCCCCAUUUAUCUCGAUAAGUAUUUCUAUCUAUCUUUAUACUUAUAUUAUUUUAGAAUAUAAAUAUACAUAACUAUGAAAAACCAAAUAAAGAUUUUAUGCUUAUAUAUAUAUGUCUUUUGCUUAGUGUGUUUAAUAAAUAAAUAAAGUGGCUAUGCUAAUCUGUAUCUAAAUAAAACUCAAGCAUGGAAAUGAUGAAUAGUUGCUCUGCCUAAUUUGCACAUUUUAAGUUCUCUCUCAAGUUUAGACAUAACUGUUAUAAUUUAAAGCUUGCUCUAGACCUAAACUUGUGGGAUGAAAACUUGAUCUGAAAUCUAAGUUGUUAACGGAUACGAUAUGGGAAGGUUGAGCUGCUGUUUAUCUGUUUCUAGAGAUGCUAGAAUUCUGGAGAAUUUUAUCUUUUGAAAUCCUUAAAAUGUUGCAUGAUGAGUUCCUGUAUGAUGAGAGUUUAAAUUCAUACCACAGCCAUAUAUACAUGCUUGCUAGACUUCGAGCCACACAUUUACUUUUUACUGCUUAUGAGCAUUGAGUGUGGUCAAGCUGUGUAGACCCUUAGGAGCUUGUCAUGUGGUUAAAUCAAGAUUCACUUGCACGUUCACUCACACAUGCUACUUCUACUCCGGAAGUACCAUCCACAUAUAUCCAUACAUUUCCAUCUUCAGAAUCACCCAAAAAUAUUCUACUCCUAAUCCGGGAGAGAAUAGCCAAAAAUAAUUUUGUUCUUCCUUAUGUAAUAAAUGCCUCAAGAUCAAUAAAGAGUAUUAUUAUUAUGUCUUGUGUGUCUCUACUUUAUUUUUGUGCAAGAAAGCAGAAAACAAGUAUGGGGGAGAUCCCUCGACAUGCUAAACACACUCCGACUACACCACUCCACGAUUCAGGUACACACUCUGCACACUUUACUUUACACAUAUAUAUAUUUUAGAUUAUGCAGAAUAUUGUUCCCGACAUGAUAAAAUAAAAAGAUUAAAAUAUUUCUAAUCAUGAUUAAUCUCAAUCUGUGAUAUUUCCUGAAAACUUGCAAAUUAUUAUAAAAUCAUUUUAAAACCCUGUGUUACUUAAGUCAAUAUGGAAUAUGUGAUGGUAGAGUAUGAGUUUCUUAUUCUUGAUAUCAUUGUUGAUUGGAGAAUUUAUUUCAAAAUAUUCAAAUUCCUAGCUACCAUCCUCAGUGUUUUAUAUGCCUGAUAAAACUGAAAUAUUAAAUAUGAUUAUAAAAGCUAUCUGCUCUGUAUUGAGUUUGUUCAAAAUGAGUUAGACCCUUGUUGAGAGAUUUAUCAUGCUUCUAAGAUCAAGACACUAUUUCAGUAAGAUUCACUCUUCCGAAGUAUUAUUGCAUUAGAGGCAUGGGCUAUGCAAAAAUAGAAGAUAUUUCGAGGAAAUAAAAAGGAGCAAGUGCUCGACAACCUCGCAGAAAAAAUGGACAAGUGUCCGGCAGUAGAAUUAGGGGUACCUCGGUAUCCACUUAAAAAAAAGAAAAAAAAAAGAGAAAAAAAAUGAUAGCCCAUGGUCCCUCUAAUAAGCAAUAUGCCAGCAAGAGUUGACAAAGUUUUUAAUUUCCAAAGUCUUUGAUCUAAGAGUAUGACAUUUCCCUCCUCGGAUCCCGUUUUGAUCAGGCAAUAAAUCCAAAGUAAGUAUGCUUGAGAAUUUUUGCAAAAUAAAACAGCCUCAGUGAGAUAUAUAUAUAAAAGAUAAUGAGUGAUCUGAGAGAACCUAUGAGGAUCAAAAGGUAUGCUAACUUUCUUUCAAAAAUAUACAAAAACUCCAAGUGACAGGAUUGAAAAGAAAGAAUCUUUACUCUUAACCAUAUACUUCCCUGACUACAGUACACAGUGGAAUUUUAACACCCUGCAAAUUAUAUAGAGAAUGUUUUAAAUGUUUACCCCAGAUAUUGUUCUCAACCAUCCUUUUCUCGAGGACGAGUAAAAGCCUAAGUAUGGGGGUAUUUGUUGACGGUUCUUAAGUAUCAAUUUUAAUUAUCAAAUAAACAAGAGAAAGGACCAAUAUGCAACCAUCACCUAGAAUUAGGGUUUGAUCUGACAGAAUUCCACGAGUUUUGUUGUUUAUCUACUUCUGCAGGGGGUUAUCAGGAAAUAAGGAAGAAAGGCCCACAUGUCAGGAUUACAUAGAGAUAUCAACGCACCGCGCAAUUUUACAUCAUCUAGAAGACUCCAGAAGCCACGAGACCGAAGCGGAGGCCAAACUGGGCCAGGCCUAGGGCGCCCGCCCUGGUAGCCUGGGCGCCCGCCCCCCUGCUGGAGCCAAAUCAGGACUCCUUCGCUCGGGAUAUUCCACCGACCUAUUGGAUCAAGAAAAACAUAGUACCACCUCGGCUAUUGACCCAAAAACGCAUAGAAGGGGAGGACUAUAUAAGCAAGGCCCCCCGUGGCCCCUAGAGAAGACAUGAAGAAAUUAUCAUAGAGACUGAGGGGUGCCCUCGAAGGAAAACCUCUUCUCUAAUUAAUAUUUCUUUUUAGGCUUAGCAAUCAAUGUAAGGUAGAAAUAGAUCUUCUAGUUCUACUAGAUUGAGAGAGAUAGAGUGGAGGUGUUGAUUGGAGGAAGCCCGGCUUGUCGGUGUCUACUCCAAGCUUGUACCUGCGGGAUCAAGUUCUCCUAACCCGAAGCUUGCUCCUAGGAUUCUUCAGUAAUUCGACUUCUAAAUUCUAGUAAGUUCUUGUUUUAUUGUUCUUAUGGUUUAUGAGUUUACUUUAAUCUCUUCGCGUAGAGUUUAGAGUAAUCAUUGCUGGCGUAAACGUGGUGUUUAGGCUGGGGUACUCAUAGAUAUUCCCUGACUAGCUGGACCGUGGUAGUAGUGAGGAACGUGACAUUUCCGAGCUACCUUUGUAGAUCACAUCUCGUUAGCAGGAAGGAUAGGGUUUAUAGGUGCGGGUCGAACAUCCUUUGUGGUGUCUAGAUUCCGUUAGCCUCCCCAUUAGAACAGUAGAUCAUCCUUACCAAGGUUAGAAGGAGACUACGGUUGCAGUCUUCUCUAUUUAUCACUCACAUCGAAAUACAUUCUUUGUGCCUAAAGGGAUAGUAGCAAUAGACCGGUUAGUCAGAUGCACCCUUUCUCCCAGUGGUAAAAAUAUAAAUACGAUACUCUGGAAAACCUCCCGGGUGAAAUGCUCACCGAUAUCCGUGCGCUUGCGGAUCGUUUCCUUAUUGCGUUACCAAAUAUCAACACAAGCCUCGGGUUAGAAGACUUGAUCCCGCAGGUACAACCUUGGAGUAGACACCGACAGGUCGGGCUUCCUCCGAUCUACUCCUCCACUCUAUCUCUCUCAAUCUAGUAGAAACUAGAAGAUCUAAUUCUACUCACAUUGGAUGCUAAGCAUAAAAGAGAUUUUUAUUUGGAGGAGAGGUAUUCCUUCGAGGGCUCCUCUCAACUCUAUGAUGAACUUGUCUCCUCCAGGGGCCAGGGGGUCUGGUUUUAUAGUCCCCUCAAGUGAACGUGGGCCGUUGGAUCAAACCGACAUUGAUUGAACGUUUAUCCUUGAUCCUUUAGGUCGGUGAGAUUGAUCCCGAAAGAGAGUCCUGAUCCAACUCUAUGAGGGGGCGGACGCCUAGUGCCUGGCCCCGUUCGGCCUCCUCUUCCUUCCCGUGGCUUCUAGAGUCUUCUAGAUGUAAGAUAAUUGCGCGGCACGUUAAUAUCUCUAUGUAAACCCGACGUGUGGGCCUUUCUUCCGUAUUUCCUGUUAACCCCCUAUAGAAAUAGACAAACACCAAAACUCAUGGAAUUCUAUCAGGUAAAACCCUAAGUCUAGGUGUUGGUUGCAUUUGGAUCCUUUUCUUUAUUUAUUUGAUGAUUAUAUUUGGUACUUAAGGACCGUCAACAACUACCACUUUUAUUGUGGCCUAAACAAGGAAGCUGCUCUUCACCUCGACUUUGCUUCAGGAGGAUCAUUCACACACAAACUCAC
rnacentral:lncRNA from 1 species